rnacentral:lncRNA from 1 species
AUUAUAAGGAGUCCGAUGUGCCUCUUGAAAUAUUAACUUCCGGACUUCCUCGUUCUCCGGUACGCACCAUUGGUUUUGAAACCGAAGCGCACCAUCGGCGUCUACACUAAAAUCACCGCCAUGUCCACUCUCGAUGACUCGCCGCACCUUUUGGAGAUUGGGGUCCGCAGAUUGCAAACUCUUAAUCUGCUCCAACAAGGUCGGUUGGACAACGAGAGCCGUAAGCAUAGAUGGAAUUUCCGAAGCUACCACCUCGAGAUCCAAUCGCUCCAUCUCUCUCCAUAGUGGUUCUUGACGUGUGACCAACAUAGCAAGAUUCUCUACUGACUUCCUGCUAAGCGCGUCGGCCACCACGUUUGCUUUUCCGGGGUGGUAUAGGAUUGUCACAUCAAAAUCCUUCAGUAAUUCCAACCACCGCCGCUGUCGCAUAUUGAGCUCCUUUUGGGUGAAUAGGUACUUCAGACUUUUGUGGUCCGUGUAUAUCUCGCAAUGCGCGCCAUACAAGUAGUGCCUCCAUAACUUGAGAGCAAACACUAUUGCGGCCAACUCUAAAUCGUGGACAGGGUAAUUCUUCUCAUAGCUCUUCAGCUAACGGGACGCAUAAGUGAUCACCUUCCCGCCCUGCAUCAGCACACACCCUAAGCCCGAAUGUGACGCAUCGCUAUACACCACAAAGUCUUUGUCUUGUACCGGUAAGGCGAGCACCGGAGUCGAAGUUAAUCUAUCCUUCAACUCUUGGAAACUCCGGUCGCACUCGUUACUCCAAAUGAACUUGGUACCUUUUCGAGUCAGACGGGUAAGUGGACCCACGAUCUUCGAGAAUCCCUCCACGAACCGUCUAUAAUAACCCGCUAAACCCACGAAGCUUCGAACUUCCGUGACGUUAGUCGGGCGAGGCCAACCCUUGAUCGCCUUCACUUUCCUCGGGUCAACAGAUACUCCUCCCUUGGAAAUGACAUGCCCAAGAAAUGCAACCUCUCGGAGCCAAAAGUCGCAUUUCUUAAACUUAGCAUACAACUUCUUCUCCCGAAGGAUUUGAAGCACGAUUCUCAGAUGCUCGGCAUGUUCCUCGUUGCUGCGCGAGUAGACCAAGAUGUCGUCUAUAAAGACCACGACAAAUCGGUCCAAGUACUCCUUGAAGACACGGUUCAUUAAAUUCAUGAACGCUGCUGGGGCGUUAGUGAGUCCAAACGGCAUGACCGUGAAUUCAUAAUGUCCAUACCGCGUGCGAAACGCGGUCUUUUGAACAUCUUCCGGUUUGAUCUUGAGUUGAUGAUAACCGGACUGCAGAUUAAUCUUUAAAUAAACCCGAGAUCCUUGCAACUGAUCAAAUAAAUCAUCGAUCCUGGGCAACGGGUACUUAUUCUUGAUCGUGACUUUGUUCAACUCACGAUAGUCUACGCAGAGUCGAAACGAUCCAUCCUUCUUUCGCACGAAUAGGACCGGGGCUCCCCACAGCGAUACACUUGGCCGUAUAAAUCCUUUAUCAAGAAGAUCUAUCAAUUGAGCCCGUAACUCCUUCAAUUCCGCCGGCGCCAUCCGAUACGGAGCCUUCGAGAUAGGCGCGGUUCCUGGAACAAAGUCUAUCACGAACUCGAUCUUCCGGUCUGGUGGCAUUCUCGGUAACUCCGCGGGAAAUACAUCUGAAAAUUCCCGAACCACGGAUAACUCCUCGAACGUAGGAGUCGUCCUCUCGACUUCCACAACAGUCGCCAAAUAGGCCGUACAACUGCUGUUAAUCAACUUCCUUGCCCUCGUCGUCGACACCAUAGCAGCGAAGUGCGAGCUUCUACAAGCCCGGUAGACGAACUUUUCUUGGCCUGGUUCGCGAAACAUAAUCACUUUACUUCUACAGUGAAUAGUCGCAUAGUACUUCGAGAGCCAAUCCAUUCCUAGAAUGACGUCGAAGUCUUUCAACUUCUUAAGCACCAACAUAUGGAUGGGCAUUAUCCAAUUGCCCAACCGCACUGGACAAGACGAGCACUCCUUACGGACUAGAAAAUCACGUCCGGGGCCCGAUACCCUCCAAGUGCUUUUACUCUCUUGUAGUUCUAUGUCAUGCAUGCGUGCAAAUGACCUACUGAUGAAUGAAUGCGUAGCAACUGUAUCAAACAUGGCCCUGGAGCGAACUCUGUUAAUUAAAACCAUACCUGCGAGUACAUGGCGAUCCUCCGCCUUAGUAGGUUCCUCGGCUUGAGUUUGGGCGGCGAACACCCGCCCGCUCGGAGCCGAUCUCGUUGCCUCAGGUUGGCGUGGUACCAUCGCACGUCCAGCCGAUGACGCAGCAGGUGGAACUCCUCCAUAAUGUGCCGGAGUCGCCGGAGCCGACGCGACCGAAGGGGCGAGCGAAGCCUUCACUGGACAGUAGCGGCUGAUAUGGCCCGCCUGUCCACACGUGAAGCACUUCCCUUCCCGUUGAUCACACGUCCUUGGCUUGUGGUUCCUACCACAGAUUGUGCACCACUGCAGUCCGCGACCCUUGGAUUGCGUUCGCGGGUACUUCGGGGGCUUCCUUGACUUGGCUUGAGCUCCCGAGCUACUCUGAGCCCGCUUCUUACCGCCGUCCUUCUCGGAGGCUUCUCGCUCCUCCCGGAUGUGAGCGUUCCCUUGCUCCCCCACAACGCUCGAUCGAGCACCUCCGCGAAGGCAGUGAGCUUCAAUAUGUGCACCGCCCGGUAGAUAUCAGUUCGGAGCCCUCGCUCGAACCAAUCGGCUCGAUCCCUGUCAUCCCGCACUACGUCCGGGACGCAGUCAUUGAUGUGAGAGAACUCCCGCUCAUAUUCCGCUACCGUGCGGCUACCUUGCUUCAACUUUCGAAACUGCUCCUGGAGUUUCUUCUUCUCGCUAUCAGGGAAGUAGUUGACAUAGAACAGUCCCCGAAACUCUUCCCACGUCAACGGCGGAAGGUCGGAAGUUCAGUUUCUCUUGAUUCGCUUCCACCAAACCUUCGCCGUUUGCUCCAAGCAAUGAGUGGCGAGGUAGACCUUGUCCCUCUCCAACGUGUAGAGGUCCUCAAACAAGGUCUCCAUUGAGUCCACCCACGACUCAACCAUCCAUGGCUCGACCUUCUCUCCUUCGAAGGUCGGUGGAUUGAACCUUCGGAACUUCUCAAGAGCCGUAAGCGCGCGCCCCCUCUCCACCUCCAAUGCCGUCGCAUCGGGUGUCGUAGAACCCGACGCCGUCGGAGGAACGCUUGCCGGCGGAGGACGUGCCAUCACCGAAACUGCAGCAAUGCCCUCGCCCUUAGCCGCCGUAGGCGCACGUGCUAGCGGUGGGGGCGGACCACGGCCCUCAGUCGGAGCUGCAGUUGCCGCCGCAAAAUCCCGCUCCAUAAGCCCUUGGAGUUGCUCGAACCGACUCUCCUGGCGCUGUACAAUGCCGGUCAAUGCCGACACCUGCGCCCGUAGUUCCUGUACUUCACUAGAUCCAGCUUCCUCAGGCACCUCAGAAGAUGGUGCCGGAAAGGACCUAUGCACGUAGCGUCUUGGGGAUAUUGUUCCUGCAACGCAACAACCGGGUUAGUCAUCUAACCCACUUAACUCCGGCGCAUACAUGAUAUUACGCGACUCAACUCCACCAUAAGUGGACGUACACCAAUGUAUUAGUUCUAACUCUUAGCGUCGUGUUGUCGGCCGCCAACACAAACUCCUCGAGCUCAGAACUAACACCGCUCGGAUCUAUCUCUAGCCACACUAGAGAUCUAUGCUCGAUCCGACCCAACUGGAUUCUUCCUCAACCAAUUCAGGUUUACGUUCCUCUCACGUACUUAUCACCUUAGGGUUGCCAACCUAGGUCUCCUAGGUCUAUCCUAGACUCUCUCUUUACUUGCUCUUAAUUGCUCUGAUACCAACAGCUCUCUGUCACACCCCGCCCCGAAUCCACUACCAAUUUGGCACGGUUCGGGCGUGCCGGACGGACCGCCGAACGGAGAGCACCUUUCCUAUCNCCGUGUGGGAAACGGUUUUAAAAGGUUUUCUCGUGGAUUUUGUAACUUAGUAUUUCAAAACAAGAUUCCGAGUAGGAAACAUUUUCAACUAAUAGUUGUGGUAUUAUGAUUGAACGUUGAAUGGUAAAUCUGUUGUGAAUGGUGAAUGAAUGUUGAAUGUUGUAUAUUCAUUAUGGUGGUUGUACUCUGUUUAGACGUCUUGUACUUGUGCGACGCCGUGCAAAUACAGGGGAGACUCUAUCCGUGUGAACUGUGGAUACCCUGCAUUUGUGGCGGAUCUGGCACACCCUGGGGAGAGGUUUGCAAAAAAAAAAAAAAAAUUUUGGGCACUUUCGCUAUAUUUUCAAACUAAACGGGACCCCGGGGCGUGACACUAGUUCUUACAAGAAACCUCACCUUAGUCCAAAAGCACUCCAAGCUCCACCUUGUAGGAGAGCCCUAGACCCUUCAAAACUCCAAAUCUCCUCCAAAUCUUCCUCUUGAUCUCCUCCUUUCACCUUGGGGGAGAGUUACUAUAGAGAGAGAGUGUUACGCCGCCGCCCCGAAACCCCUACCAAUUUGGUCCGGUUCGGGCGCGGUAGAUUGACACUGAACAGACAGGACCUCCCCUGUCCGCUCAAGGCCAAACAACUAGAUCAAGUACAAUUAAGCGCCCAGGAAAUGCUUAAAUAAUAUACAUGAUCAAUACGAUACACGCAAGUGCACUACAACUAAGAGUAAGAACCACAAGUGAAUGUACAAGUGUAUAAAGAGAGAGUCUAACUAUUACAACCAUUCAACAUUUACAUCGGUUGAUUACAUUUCCAUCUUCCAAAAUGUAAAUACAUGUUUUCCUCAAAAUACAAGUAGCUCUCCAAUAACUAUCCAAAACAUCAUCUAGUACACGAGGGUACUCUAAUGCAUAAAGGAAAAGCUACUAACUAGUCUCACUUAGGACGCUAUGCCCUUGCCGCGAUCCUCGCUCGGCUCGCCCCUGUGUGUACCUGUACCCCAAAACCACACAGGGUGAGAACUAUAUGAAUAUAGUUCCCAGUGGGUUCGACUGUCGACGUCGCCGGUUUUCUCACUAGGCCUAAGCUGGCAUAGAUAGAGAGAUAGAUAGAUAUAUAGAAAAUAAACUGCAACUACUCUAUCAUGCCAUCAAUGAUAAUCAUGCAUGCGACAACUACUAUCAUUCUAGUAUCAUGUCAUGAGUAUAAAAAGGUAUAUAGCAAUGUAAUCUACAACAUACACUAUGUCUACUCAAGGUAAUAAUGCAAGUCUACUAUACAUUUCAUGUUUAUUACCCAAUCCACUUGGUUAACCCGAAGGUUAAAUCCUCGACGCACUUUCAAUCUCAUAGGUGAGGAGAAGCUGCACUCGCACACCGAGACCGUCUGCGGGACAACUACGUCUGCUCCUAGCGAAGUACUCCGAUGACUCGUGCCUCGGUGGAGCGACCACCGACAAGCAAAACAGACUAGUGAGUAUGAUCCAAUCCUCUCAAGAGGAUACCCUGUCUACUAGGGUCAAUGUGCCUCUGCUGCACAAUCAUGAUAUAUAAUCAAUGUUGGGACCUCUACUAUCCCUAGGUUCAUGUCAAGUUUACUACACUAGACUCGAUGCCACUCGUUUAGUCACUGUAGUAAAUAUCUCAAUUGUUCUACAUGUCACUCGUUCAUGUCAUAGUGCUUCUACCACACUAAUUCAUUGCCACUCUACUAGGCUAUGUCCAAGUUCGGCUCUUUAUGCCGCUAUAGGAUUCUAUGUCACAAGACACAAUCCUCAUGCUAUCCUAGUCCACGUGUCAAGCUCACCCCGCUACACUACUAAGAAAGCAUGCAAGGAAAUGAAAAUGUACAUCUAUUAAUCCUAUAAUGCAAUAUGAUCAAUAUAUAUGCAACUUAGACAUAAAAAGAAACCCGGUUACUUCGGGAUGGCACCCCCCACCUUUUGUGUAUACGGAGACUUUAGAAAUGCGCUUCGGCGUUCUUUACGAUGAAGCCUCGGUCUUCUUGUCCAAAACGAUGCUCAAUCGGCCUUAUUUUGCCGAUAACUCUUGACCCGCUCGACGAAUCGAAAUUCCGACUUCGCCCCCGCCUUUCGUUACCUAGCAAUUAGGUUUACAUGGUCUCGAAUGAGAUCAAUCUCAUACUUUACCAAAAAUCCUAUUUUGGUGCCCUAGGGUUAACAUCAAGCUAAACCCAUCUCAAAACCCUAGAUUCUAGCUCCAAUCCCACCAACAAUGGUGCUAGGGAUCCAUUUGAUCCCAUCCAAAGAGCUAAAACCCAAAAACCCUAAAUUUCGUAAGCUAGGGUUAGAAGCUUACCUCUAGGUUAGCUUAAUAGAGAGAAGAGAGGAAGAGGGAGAAGUCCAAAAGCUUCUUUUUCUUGAUCUCCUUCCUCUUCUCCUUCCUUUUCUUCCUUCUUUUCCUUCUCAUAUCUUCUUCUUCUUCAUUUUCUUCUUCUCUUCUAGAGAGAUAGAGCAAGAGAGUGUGAGAAAGAGAGGGAGUAGAAUGAGAGAGUGAGAGGGAGAGAGGGACCACAAGCCCUCAUAUUGUAACAAUAUCCAAUUGGCCCCCUCACCUUUUUACUCUGCGCACUGCCCUUCAUUGGGCAUUCUGCACCCAGAUGGACCGGUCUCCCCGACUUGGGACCGGUCCCCGAGAGCUUCAGCUCGGGUCACGCGUUCGGGUACCGGUCUCUCCCAGAGAGUCCGGUCCUCGGGAGACCAGUUCCUUCCUGAGAGACCGGUUCCCGAGAGCUGGGAUUUCGAGACUUAGCCGAAUUUCGGAUUUUCUCGCCGGGAUCACGUUCGGGGACCGGUCUCUCCCUGCCAGGGACCGGUUGCAUUAAAGAUCCCCGCAACCCCAGCCGAUGGGACCGGUCCCUCCCUGCUAGGGACCGGUCCCCGAGAGCAGUUUUGCUCCAGUGCAGGUUUUGCACUAUUUGCUCUCGUGGACUCGUUUCCAAUGCACUUUUGGUGAUUUUGACAUUUUUGGCUUUUCCAAAGCUCACCAACACGACCCUUGGUCGAUUUUGCAUAGAGUCUAACUCUCGUAUUUCGAGAAUUCACUUCCUCACAUUGGUAGAUAAACAGAUAAGGGCCAAGUCCCUAGGCUUUUUGCUAAGUUUUUGCAGCAGUGUAGAAUUGUUCCACAGUACACUAUGCCAGGGACACUUGACCAGAAUGGUGUUGCUGAAAGAAGGAACCGCACAUUAAUUUAUAUGCCCAGGAGUAUGAUCAGUAAUUCGACCCUGUAUAUUCUUAAUCGGGACUCUACUAAAGCUAUCACUGAGACUCCUUUUGAGCUUUGGACUGAUAGGAAACUCAAUUCAAGACAUUUUCAUACAUAAGAUUGUCAAGCUGAGGCCAAAUUAUAUGACCCACAAAUAAAGAAAUUGAAUCCUUGAAUUAUAUCAUGAUAUUUUAUUAGUUAUUCAGAAAGGUCCAAAGGGUAUAAGUUUUACUGUCCAUUAUUUCCUAUAAAGAAUGCAGAAACUAAAACUACAUGGUUUAUUGAGGAUGGUACAAUCAGUGGGAGCUGUAAACCCCGAUUCAUUGAAUUUGAGAAAAUUCAAGAACAUUCAAAUUCUGUACAUGACAGACCCACUAUUGUCUCUCACGAUUUGAUGGUUCCUGUUCUAGUGGACAAUAAGUUAUUUUGAAACCACAAAGUGAUCAUGAACCUAUCUUUGAUAAUUCAGUUAAGAUGUAUAAGUGGAUACUGCACAUCAAGAUGUAUAAGUGGAUAAUCCGCGUUAAGUUGUAGAUGCGGAUAAUCAGAUAUAUUUAAAAAGAUUCUUAAGAUACAGAAUACCGGCUGUAUCUUGUGAUUAUAUUGUCUAUCUUUAUGAAAAUGACCAGAAUUUAGAUGAUCCUUUUAAUUUUUUGAAGCCAUAAAUAGCAGUAAUUCUACAGACUAGUACAAUGGCAUGAAAGAUGAGAUUGAAUUCAUGAACCACGGUAAGAUAUGAGAUCUUAUUAAGUUGCCUAGAGAAAUUAAACCCAAGUGGGUUUAUAAAACCAAAUAGGACUUUAAAGGUAACAUAGAAAGAUAUAAGUCCUAUCUUGUGGCGAAAUAGUUUACUCAGAAAGAAGGCAUUGACUAUAAAGAGAUUUUCUCUUUAGUAAAGAAAUCUUUUAUUGUUAUUAUGGCUCUGGUUGCUCAUUUCAAUCUUGAGCUACACAAGAUGGAUGUUAAAACUCCUUUUUUUAAAUGAGGAUCUCUAUGAAGAGGUGUAUAUAUAUCAGCCUGAAAGAUUCUGAAAAAAGAAAGCAAGAACUUGCAAACUAAAUAAAUCAAGAACUUGCAAGAACUUGCAAACUGAAUAAACUAGCCUGAAGGAUCCUGAAAAAAGAAAGCAAGAACUUGCAAACUGAAUAAAUCAAUAUAUGGACUAAAGCAGGUCUCCAAACAAUGGUAUUUAAAGUUUAAACAAACCGUUUUGAACUUUGGUUUUACGAAAAAUAUUUGUCACGCCCGCGACCGCCAAUUUGGUCGGUUCGGGUACGUCUACAGACGCCGAACGGACAGAACCUCUCCUGUCCACCCAAGGCUCCACCCACAUGUAUAGCAAUAGCAAUUCAAGCAAAGAGAAUGUGAGUAUACAUGGCUUGCACAAGGGCAAGCAACAACAAGUGAAAGCACUAAUGCUACUUCAUAUAACCAUACAUGUCAUUUGAUUUCAUUUAACCCAAUACAAGUCAACCACAUAUUACAUUCAUUCCUUUCUUUUCAUACAUAUACAUCACUUAAUACAUCCAACCAAAACAUAUGGAUUUACAACAUUUAUACAUCAUUGGCCAACAUAACAAAAGUUGAAUAUACAGGGUAUGACUAUACUCAGGUAGCCGCUACUUAGGGCGCGAUGCCCUUGCCGCGAUCCUUGACCGCCCCGCUCGCGCUAGGAUCUGCAAGGUUAGUGAUGUGAGAACUAAAAGAAGUUCUCAAUGGGUUCUGCCGUCGACCCCGCUGACUCGCCUACUAGGUCUACUCAGUUAUAUGUAAGAAAAGGAUAGAUAGAUAGCAAACCAAACUAAUGCCAUUACAAUGCCUGCAAAGAAACUGGGUCAACAAGUAAUAUGCUCAUAAAGAUGAUGCAUGAAGCCUUUUCAUUUACCUUGGCUUUCACCCAAUUAACCCGGUUAACUCAUGGUUAACCCCAAAACUCACAACCAAAAUCCCUUUCAUUUGGGGAGAAUACCGCUACAACCUUGGGACCGUCUUCUGGGGAGAAUUCCGCUACACCCAGUGGUGACAACUCCGGAGCACACCGCUUGAGGGGGAGCUACCGCCCUCAAGCCAAGACCCAACGUGAGUAUGAUCCAAUCCUCAAUUUUGAGGAUGUAUAGCCAACUUGCCAUUCUUGCCACAAUGCCACAAUGCUCAUAAGGUUUUACCUCGUCUAGCAUACCAUGUCCUCGGUGCCAAUCAUGUCUGCUAAUGUCAAUGUCACAUUUAUUUACUAUUGUCAUAGUCUGACUCUCAUUUCACACAUUCAUAGGGUUCAAAUACACAUGGUCCAAUCAUAUGUUCUCUUGCUUAGAAGCAUACAAAAGAUUUCCCAACCGUAAUAACAUAUCACAUAACCCUAAAUGAAUGAAUACUACAAUACACAUAUAUGCUCAAAGAGGCGACAAAGACAUAAUGAGAAGUUCAGUGAUUUCGGAUAGCACCACUCACUUCAUAGGGAUGCUGAGAAGCAACCAUGCAAGUCUCAUAAUUAAUAGCCGCCAAUCUUCCUCGAUUGCAGUAAACGAAGCCAAAAUGGGGAUUUUCCCCAAUAUCCUUGCGUAGACUCGUCGGAACUCCGAACCGAGUCUCCUAACGCAUCAGAUUACCCGCCAAUUAGGGCUACAAGAGAUCAAAUCUAACUUAGAUCUCAUAGUUUGGAAAUCCCUAAUAUAAACCCUAGGGUUCCACUACCUCAUAAUAUCCACUAAUUCAUGGAUAGUAAUGAACCAACCAACCACAACAGCUUCUAGAAACACUAGCUAGAAGAAAUCAUAACCAAACCCUAGCUUAAAGCCAUAAGAACUCACCUUGAGUUCCAAGCUUUCCUCCAAACACUUGCAAAAAUGCUAGCUCCACCCCAAAUUAAUCUUCUUCUCCACCUAGCCCCCUUCUUGGAUCAACCCUAGCGAGAGAAGGUGUAAUAUACCGAAACCUCGGUAGAGUAUAUCGGACUUUAGCCAAAUUGACUAAAGUGUCCGAGGGAAAUAGUUGGACAAGUUGGACAAGUUCCAAUUAGCUUUCCAACAAGGUUGGAAGGGCUAAAAGUGAGUUUAAAAAAGUUAGAAGAGUUUUAGCGUUGUUCGGCACGAAGUAGAAUCGAAGCAAUGCGAAAAUUUGAGAUCUGGAACUCUGUUACCGGUUUAACAUCAAAAGUGUACCGGUACCCAGUGUUAAACCAAGAGAAGUUGCUCUCGGGUCUAGAGGAAAUUGGCUGUGGAACCGGUGACAAAAAUAAUUUGUACCGGUACCAAUACAGAUUAGCUAAUAAGCUGCUCUCGAGUUUGGUUCUGCGAAAUCGUGUAACCGGUGACACUUUGGCCCGUACCAGUACAAAAUGGACCUCGCAGCAAAUUUUAGUCUGCUGCAAAAUAGAAGUUUUGGGGGGCCUUGUUGCUAUUGUUGCAACCCCUAUAUGCCCCGAACACCCUCUAUUCUCUCUUCAUAGCAGAGAACACACUUCCAACCCAUUUCUCUCAUUCUCUCUCUCUAGAAACUCUCUUCAAAGGCAAGAGAGGAGCUCAAGAGGUGGAUUGUGGUGGAGAUUUUUGGAGGAUUUGAAUGAUUUGAGCCCUCCUGCAAGGUGGACCUUGAAGUGCUUUGGGAUAAGGUGAGUUUUUAUGCAAGAAUGGUUUUAGGGUUUGGAUUUAUACCCUAAAUCUUUGGGUUUUGAUCUUCUUGCAAGGUUAGAAACCCUCUUGAGGCCAUGAACUCCAUGAAAUCCAUGGUUUCGUCAUGAGCUCUCAUGGUGAACUUCUAGGGUUCAUGUUAGAUGCCCUAGGAAUAGUUGGAAUGGCUUAGAAAUGGUAUUAGAGAACUUCUUAGAGGGUUUUAAGCUAGUUUUUGCUUAGCUCUAAGAUCAAUACAAGAAAUCUUGCAAUAUAACAUUGUUAGGGCACCAAAUUUGGGGCUUUUACCCUAGGUUGUUUCCAAGGCAAAUUGACCUUGUAGAAAUCUAAUUAGGGGUAUUUCCGACAUUAUUAGGGCACCAAAUUUGGGGCUUUUGCCCUAGGUUGUUUUCAAGGCAAAUUGACCUAGUAGAAACCUAAUUAGAGGUAUUCCCGACGCGUUGGAAGACUCAGUUCGUUGAAACGAAGAAUCUAUGUAAAGUUAUUAAGUAAAAAGCCUAAUUUAGCUUCAUUUUGAUACAGAUUGUCGCAGAACGCGUAAUAAGCAUCCAAAAAUUAUGAGAAUUGAACCCCAACUCCUUUAGUACUAUACGAGGUAGGGGGUGCCUUCCGGAAUCAUCGGAUUCCCUCCUAAGUCUAUGUUACAUUUUAUUGAGCAUAUAUGUGAAUAGUGAUAUUCAUGCAUGAUAGGAUAGUUGACAUGUGAAUGAUGGUUGAAACUCAAUGUUAUGCUUCUAACAUAGAUGAACAUAGUGAUUGUCAUAGAACCAUAAGAAACAUGCAUGUUGGAACCCUAUACUUGUGUGAAUGUGAGACUUGGACUAUAAUGAUAGUAAACAAAGGUGACAUUGACAAUAGAGACAAGAUUGGCAUUGAGAAAUGAAUUGUUAAACAAAGUUUAACCAAUAGUGGCAUCAUGGUAAUUAUGUGAUAUAUACAUAAUAAGGUAGUAACCUAUCAUUGACAUUGUGGCAUAGAGGAUUGUGGCAAAGGUAGCAAGUGUGGCUAUGCAUUCUCCAAAUGAGGAUUGGAUUUUACUUACAUUGGGUUUUUGGCUUGAGGGAGGUCGCUCCACCUCAAGCGGUGUACUCCGGAGUGUAGACACCACGGAGAGAAUGUCCCGUUGAUGGUCCCUCGGGUGGUAGUGCUUGGAGCCUCCCCCGGUAGACAGGAUACUGAGUUGUGAGUUGUUGGGGUAAACAAAUGUUAACUGGUUUAAUUGGGUACAAGCCAAGGUAAAAGUGGAAAAGCAUGCAUGCAUAUUCAUCGUACUCAUGAAUAAUUAUUUGUUGACAGUUUUCUUGCAGGCAUAGUAUUAGCAUUAGUAUGGUUUGCUAUUUUCUUUUUUUGAAAUACUUAUGCCUAAAUAGACCUAGUGGGUAAGUCGGCGAGGUCGGCGGCCGAACCCACUGGAAACUUCGUUGUAGUUCUCACACCACUAACCCUACAGAUCCGAGCGCCAGCGGGGCGGCGGAGGAUCGAGGCAAGAGUAUAGCGCCAUAGCUAGUGGCCACCGAACUUUACAGUUAUAGUCAUUUCCUUUUGUUCAUAUAUCAACUUUCAUUUUGCUGAACUAGUGAUGUAAAAGUUGUAAACAACAUGUAUUUUGGGUUGAAUGAUUAUGAUGUAAAGAAAUUAUGAAUGAAAGCAAAAUGAAUGUAAUAGUUUAGCUUACUUGUAUUUGGUUAAAAUGUAAUCAAAUAUUAUGUAUGUGGUUGCUUGUAGUAGCUUAUAACUUUCGCUUAUGUUGUUGCUUUCCCUCGUGCAAGCCUUGUAUAAUUGCAAAUCUCAUUGUUUAAUUGCUUAAUUAUACUUGUUGCUAGAGCCUUGGGCGGGCAGGGGAGGCCCUGUCCGUUCGGCGUCUGUUGACGUGGCCCGAAUCUGACCAAAUUGGCGUAGCUUGGGGCGUGACAGAAGGAGAGAAAGGGAGAGUUUUAGAGAGAGAAAGUAUUUACUCUUUGGUGUUGAGUGUGAAGGAAAUGAGGCUAAACCUCCAAGCCUCUACUUAUAAACACUCUCACACACACACAAUAGCACAUGGCCCCCUAACCAAACAGGGCAGCCAUCCUUGGCAAUUUUCGCGUACGGGGUCCGGACAACCUUGCACAGGGUCCGGACCCUGAGAGUAUUUCCAGCUUAAAGCAAGCUAAAAAUUUCCCAGGUUGCUCUCCCAUGUCCUAACACCCAUUCCAUAUACUCCGAAGCAUUCGGAAGGAAUUACGGACCAUUCUAACAUGUCCGACUCCGCACUUCGGUCAAUUUGACGGAAGUUCGGUACAACUCGUCGGGGAUUCGAUAUGUCACAAUAUUGUUGAUAAAUGUAUUUAUUUAAAGGUUAGUGGAAGAAAAAUAAUUUUCAUAGUCCUUUAUGUUGAUGAUAUUUUGCUUGUAAGUAAUGAUUUUGAGUUAUUACAUAAUACUAAUAAGUUUCUUUUCUAAAAUUUUAAAAUGACAGAUCUAGGCGAGGGCUCAUAUGUUCUUGGUAUUGAAAUUAAAAAAGGAUAGGCAUAAAGGUUAAUCGGUCUAUCUCAAAAGGCCUACAUCAAGAAAGUUUUGAAAAAUUUUAAAAUGCAUAAUUGUAGGUCCAGUGUUGCUCCUGUCUAUAAAGAGGAUCAGUUUAAUAUUUGUUCAGUAUUCUAAGAACCAAUUAGAAAUUGAACAGAUGGAAAAAUACCCUAUACCUUUGUAGUUGGUAGCCUUAUGUAUGCACAGAUGUGCACAUGUCCGAAUAUUACUUUUGCUGUUAGAUUACUUGACAUGUAUCAAAGUAAUCUAGGUAUGGGGCAUUGGAUGGCUGCUAAGAAGGAUACAAGGUACUUGAUGGGAACUUUGGAUCAUCUGCUGAUAUGCAGGAGAUCAGAUUACUUGUAGCUGAUGGGGUACUCAGACUUCGAUUUUACUAGAUGUCCAGAUACAAGAAAAUCUACAACUAGAUAUAUUUUUCUACUUGCUGAUGGAGCGAUUUCAUGGAAGAGCAUCAAACAAAGUGUUACUGCCCCUUCGACCAUAGCUUCAGAGUACAUUGCAUGUUUCGAGACCACAUGACAAGCUAUUCGGCUCAGGAAUUUUAUAACAGACUUAAAGAUUCUGGACUCCAUUACUCAUCUAAUAAAGAUUGAUUUUCUAUGAUAGUUCAACUCUAGUUUUCUUUGCCAAUAACAACAAGAUUAUAAUAGGGUGUAAACACUUAGAUAUUAAAUAUCUUGUUGUAAGAGAGAAGAUAGAGGAAAGUUAUAUUACAAUUGAAUACAUAACUACCAAGUGUAUGAUUGUAGAUCUAAUUACCAAAUGGCUGACACCUUGGUUAUAUAUAGAUCAUGUUGCUAGUAUGGAUUUGAUUAGUUCUUUUGAUGUAUAAGAUUAUAACAUUUUAUCUUCUUUCAAUAAAUUUAAAAUUUUAAUGCAGCUAUGUUGGAUCAUGUAAUAGGUAUAAAGUUUUGUCUGUUAACAAACAGACAUAUAGUUUUAAGUUCAUUCAUAAAGUCGUGCUACAUAAAGUACUUGGUUAGGAGAUGAAAUUGAUAUAGUAAUUAUGGGAGAAAAUUUUCAAUAUGAAAAGGUGGAUCGCCAUAGUUCUUAUCAUUGUACUCUUUUAGUUUUAGCUAAAGGUCAAGUGAGUUCUAAGGUAUUUGACCAUGAAGUUUUCAAUAAUGUGCAAUAUAAGUUUGGAGUAUAGAAAAUUCGUAUAUGGAAUAUAAUUAAUAUGAGCCAAGUGGGAGAUUGUUAGAAUUUUCAGAAAUGUGGUGCAAUUAAUCAUAUUAAAAUCUAGAUUUACUAUAGAUAAAGGUCAAUCCUAAUAGAUAUAAAGUCAUUUGAUAUGAUAUAUUUUAUCAUUUUUCCAUCAUUUUAAAGUACAUAGAAUUCUAAUCGGACUUUGAUGGGAAGUCGAUCUGAACUCUAUAUAAAGGAUAUAUUGGUCCUACCACCUUGUCAUGUGCAAUCUGGUGAAGAAUUGCCAUCGGUUCUACACCAUAUGGGAGAGUGCCUGAUAAAGAAGGAGAAACCAAAUUACCCACGUUCGGUUGGUGACGUUCAGAUUAUAGUUGAUAAAGAUCUAUCAGGAGGAAUAUGUGGAGGAGAAGGAAUAAGAGCCUCUUGUUGUACUUGCUCGUGCGUGGCCUUUUCUUAGUUGCUGCCAAUUUCUUCCUCAUUAUCAUUGUUGAAUCUAAGACUUGUGAAGGUGGUAGUGUAAAUGAGGGUAGUAUUCUCUUUGGCCACCCAUUUUCUAAUGGAAUGUUGAAGCGUUGGAAGAUGAUGGUGAGCAAUGAUCUAUAUGGAAGAGAGUGAGAGGUAUGUGCGGCCACUGCCACUAUGUGGCAAAUUAUAUUCUCACCUAGAUUCACUUAGAUCCCCCACUUUGAGAUCGUGAAGAAGAAAAAGAUCCAUCUUUUAAACAAUAGUGUGGUGAACGUCACGAGGAAAAACUAAUUUAAUGAGGAGGACAUGGGCAACGCGAUCAUGGAAAGAGAGUUUGGAGCUAUCUUCUCUAAAAAUAGAUCGGUUACAAAGAAGGUGAUUCCUAACGUCUAUCUCAGUGAAGUUAGGAAUAUUCCAAAUGUUGGUAAGGUAGUACUUAACACCUUCAUGAGGAAUGUUAAGGAUGGUGUUACGUUGUAACGUACCGAAACUUCGGUAGAAAAUAUUGGACUUUAGUCAAAUUGACUAAAGUGUGCGAAUGAAAUGGUUGGGCAAGUUCUAUUUAACAUUCCAACAAGGUUGGAAGGGUUAAAAGUGAGUUUAGAAGGAGUUGGAAAGGUUUUAGCGUUGUUCGACGGGAAAUAGAAUCGAAACGGAGCCAAAAACCAAGUCUGGGCAAAGUGUACCGGUACAACCAUCGAGUUGUAACCGGUACAGCAAAGUGUACCGGUACAGCAUUGAAAGUGUACCGGUACAAAUGCUAUGAAACCGAGAAGCAGCUCUUGGGUUUUGUCUCUGCGCAGUCGUGUUACCGGUGACACGAGGAAGUGUACCGGUACACUUUGGGCUGACAGCACAGAAUUAGUCUGAUGCAAAUAUGGAAUUUUGGGGGGCUUAGUUGCUAUUGUUGCAACCUAUAAAAUACCCUAUCUCUCCCCUCUCUUCACAGCAGCAAGGAGAACCCUUCUCCUCUCAUUUUCUCUCCCUUUAUCUCUCUAGAAACUUUGUACCAAGGUUAAGGAGAAUGAGAGGAAGGUUUUGGAAGUGGAUUUUGGAGGUCUUGAAGGGUUUAGAAGCUCUCCUUCAAGGUGAUCUUGGAAGAGCUUGGGCUAAGGUGAGUUCCUUUGCAAGAAUACAUCUAGGGUUUGGAUUUCUACCCUAAGAUCUAGAGUUUUGAUCUUCUUGCAAACUUUAGAACAUUGUACAGACUUGGAAACACAUGAAAUCCAUGGUUUCCUCAAGGUGCUCUAAUGGUGAAACUCUAGGGUUUGCUCUAAACACCCUAAGAAUGGUUCGAAUGGUUCUAGAUGAGUUCCUAGAUGUCGAACAAACUCUCUUUUGCUUGUUUUAGAGAUCGAUUUGGUAUAUGUUGCUAUGUGACAUAUUAGGGCACCAAAAUUGGGGCUUUUGUCAUUAGUGGGUUUAAAUAUAAAUUGACCCUAUGUAAACCUAAUUGCUAGGUAUAUGAACGCGUUGGUGAAGUCGGUUCGGCGAUUUGUCGAGCCUAUGCGAAGUUAUUGAAGAAACGGACUGUUAAAGCUUCGUUUUCGCCUGGAGGGCCGAGUCGACGUCCAAAAAUCAUGAAAUCAGAAUCGUAGGCUCGUGGCAACUAACCGUAGACCUUUAAUUUCCGGAUCGUGGAUUGGAGGCCGUUCGGAUGGUCGCGCGAGAGUUCGGGCCGAACUGGUCACGGGUGCUGUGGGAGGUCGAUUGCAAGUGACUACAAGCAAUCGAAAUGCGGAUUGAGGUGGGUUGUAUUUACCGAAGCGACUAGGUCGCCUGUAUGUCUAAGAUGAGUGUUUAUCAUUGAUGCAUAUUAUGGUAGCUAGUGGUAGAAUGUAUAAAUGCAUGAAAUGAAUACUAUGUGGGCUACCAAAUAGUGCAUGAUAACAUAAUGUGAAUAAUGCUAGUGGAAAGCAUAAAGUAAAUGAUAUAUGCAUGUUGACAUUAUAGGAACAUGCUAGUUGAUAUGUGUAGAGACAUGUUGGAAUGCAUGCUAGAUGAAAUGCAUAUUGGUAUAAAAUAAUUCGCUUAAAGAAUACAUGAUGAACAUGUUAUAGAAACAUUAGUGGGUGCAAGUUGACAUAUAGAGAACUAUGUUAAAUGACAUGUGCAUGUGGACAUUUAUAUACACAUAGAUCGAGUGGCAUUGAACCUAGUGUCAAAGAACAUAGGUUGAACAAGUGUGGCAUUGAACCUAGUGUCAAAGAACAUAGUUGAACAAGUGUGGCAUUGAACCUAGUGUUAUUGAACAUAGGUUUGGUAUGAACCUAGUGUCAUGGACCUAGGAUGGAUAAGAAUGAAUAUGAACCUAGUGUUAAAGAAUAUAGGUUGUGGAAUAAACCUGGAGUUAAGUCAACCUAGGUUGUGAGAUAAAGAUAGUGAACCUAGAGUUAAAGUAACCUAGGUUAUGUGAUAAAAGUGUUAAACCUAGAGUCAAGUGGACCUAGGAUGGAAAGGACAUUGGACCUAAGUAGGACAAUACUAUAGGGUUAAGACCAACCCUUGGGUUUUGUGAAAAUGGAUUCCGGAAUCCUAGAGCUUAUGGAACACCGAGAGUGGUGUUAGGCAUGUGCGACGAUUUCGCCGACGGAUGGGUGAGCCGAAUUGUGGUUUAUACCGGUUGAGCUGGUUUGUGGAUUAUACCGCUAAUUGACUCGAACCAUCGACGUGGCGUGUGCGACGAUUUCGCCACCGGGUGGCUAGGUCAUUGAGGGCGGUGAGCUGUGGAAGGCUGAGGUGCAAGUGUGAGUUCCUUCACCUUGAGCCGGACAGAGCGCGGACUAUCCGCAGUUGAUUGACUCAAGACCGAGUCGAGUGGCAUAGUGUGAUUAAGGUAAGAGUAACCUUAGGAAAGAAUAACAAAUGAGCAUAAUAUGACUAAGGUGUGAGUACCCUUAGUAAAGAAUAAAGAAUAGCUAAGAGUAAAGAAUAGCUAAUAAAGAAAAAACGGCUACAAGUAAAGAAUGACUGAUGAUAUGAAGUAGAAUCAAUUAAUCUACUUGCAUGAGAUACAGGAUUUGCAUAUUGCAUAUUGUGAGGCAUAGCAUGUUUUUCCUUAUUCGUAUAUAUAUAUAUCUGUUAGACUAACAUGUUGCAGUGCCUCCUUGGACCUAUAGGUUGAGCUUUUCCCUUGGGUGGCCGUACCCACUGGGAACCAUGGAGUUGGUUCUCACCCCAAGUUGUUUUAGGGUGUUACAGGUUCGCACAUGAGCGGCGCGGCGGCGCGAGGCAAGGGCGUAGCUCCGUAAAUAGCGGCCCUACCCUCGAGACUGAGAUAGCGGUACCCCGAGGUGGUCUAGCUUAGGGGUUUGAAGACAAAUGUACCAAACUUGUACUGAUUGUAUUUUGAAAGUUGAAUGUAAAAGAAAAUUGUGAUGUAAAAUACACUGUUGUAAUAACUUAGUUGUUUUAUGUCUUUGAUACUUCCUUAUGCAAUCUUUGGUUGAAUUCGGUUCAUGGUUGGAACAUCGUGAAUUGUAUCGAUUGCGACGUCUUGGACGUACAGGGGAGACUCUAUCCGCGGUACAGGGAAACUCUGUCCGUUCGGCGGUCUGUUGGCGUGCACGAACCCGACCAAAUAGGCGGGGCACGGAGCGUGAUAUACGUAAUAUAAGAGUAAUCACAAAAUCUUGUCCCGAACGCGGGAGGAGAUAGUAGAAUGAUAUAAAUUGUAGGAAGCAUUUGCAUAAAAUAUUUUAACAAGUUCGGAAUUAACGGGUUGACUAUUUGGAACAAAUAAAUCCCAACUUACUUGGAUGAGUCUAGAAAUGAGAUCAUAACAAUCAAAGUUGAAAAAAUUAACUCGACAACAAGGUUGUAUGGAUUGACUCAAUUCAUGUUUGUCUUGUGCUUCCCGAGAUAAAAAGUGAAAUGCAUCAAAAUUGUCAUUUGAAGGAGGAGAGGAGUUUCUAUGAGUUCUACAACCACUAGGGGUUGCAUUCUUUGUUCUAGGCAUGAUUGGGUUAAUUUAGAGAGAGAAACUACCUAGGAUUAUCUAAAAAUCAAGUAAAAAAGAUGAAGGAUAGAAAAACUAGUAGAUCUCGGUAGAGAAGGAAGCAAAAAUACCAAAGUGACAAAAAAAUUUGAAGAAAAAUGAUUCUAAAAAGAGAUCACAAAACUAGGAUUUCUAGAGAGAGAAAAUUGAAAAAGAAGAAAAAGAAGAUGAAGAUGAUGAAAAAAUUAUGGAUUUACCACACUUAGAGAAGAAAGGAGAAGGCAUCCAAAGAUUUUGAAUGCUCAAUGGUGAUCCAGGCUCAUUUGCGGCGUGUGUUGCGGACAGUCACAGGACGAAAACGAAGAAGAGAAAAAGAAAGAAAAAGAAUAGAGAAAAAAAAUUUGGACCCAUAUAAAUAGAUCUAGUUUUGGGCAUUUAAUUAGUUGAGAUUUCUCUGGCGGCUGGAACCUCGAACCCAGAAGAUUCUAUGCUAACGGCAUUCGAAAAGUGUUUUGAGCAUACCAGUGUAGGCUCGAAAUGUUUCAGGUGCCCACAGGGCAUUUCGAGUGCCUAGAACUCGUCACUUUGAAAAUCCAUGCUCUCGGGUUGAGGAUACAAAGUUGGUUUUGAACACCCGCUCACUACCCAAAAAUAUUUUGGGCAUUCGCAGGAUAGUUCAGGCACUCGAAGCAUUAAGUACUGAGCUUCAGCUGCUCUCGGCUUGAGAACCCGGAUGAUUCGGGCAUCUGGAAUAGGGGAUUCAAAUAUUUCAGGCAUUCGAAAAGGUUAUCUAGCACAGUUAAAGUCCUUUUCAACAUUUCAGGCAUUCGCAAGAUAUUUAGGGUGCCCGAACCCUCAUAGAAACAAUUAGAAACCCAAAAUAAUUCAAAAAUGCAAUAUUAAGUCAAAUUCAGGCAAACACAUAGAUACAAUCACAACACACAUUAACAAGCAUUUAUUUAAGAGAAUUAGAAAAAUUAAAAACUCAAAUCAAGCAUACUUUAUUCUCUUCUAACGAUUGAAAAUCUAUCUUCACUAAGUGGCUUAUUACUCAGACUACAUGUCCAAGUAAUCACGAUAGAACAACCGAAGGUUGUAAACGCAGAUGUGCAGUAUUUUUAUUUUCAGAUUUAUCUUUUAACAUUUUAAUUAAUGGUUAAUAAUUUGUAUGCUUUAUUUGUAAGAUUAACAAUCGCAAUUUUCAGAUUUAUCUUUUAACAUUUUAAUUAAUGGUUAAUAAUUUGUAUGCUUUAUUUGUAAGAUUGGCAAUCGCAAGAAUCCACGACCAAUUCAUCUCUUAGUUCUAUUAGACCAGGCGAGGCACCGUUCGAGCUUCUUACAGAAAGAGGUAACGUCAUUUAUGCAUGCACAAUUAUGUUGAUGAAUUGUAUAAUAUGUUUUUAUAUAAAGUUUAAAUAUAAUAUAUUUAUUAUAUAAGGGGUGCGCACCAGUUCAAUUUAUGGAGCAUGGCUGUAAACCAAACACAUGGACAGUCGAGCAUCCGCUUGUGGUAGACCAUGUAUGACAGGUUGAGUUUUUUAUGUCUCACGGCAGCUCAGGUUGAAUUUUUUAUGUCUCACGACAGCUCAGGUGCGUCCAGCUUGAUUAGGCCUUUUUAGGGGUGUUGAGGAGUGAUGGAGGCAUGAGAUACAAACAUUUCACUUACGUCACAAAGAAAUGAUAGUUAUGCUACGUGGCAUGACGUACUAUUAUUGCUGGACUUUGAGUCAGUAGAGAGACUGUGACGAGAUGUGCAUCGUGUUAUUGGCUAUAUAUAUGUGAGGGGCUUCUAAGGAUAGUACCAGAGGAUAUUGUCGCCGGUCAAAUCCUCCUGGAUUGGUUAUUUUAGCAUUUCCACUAUAUCCCUUUGGAUGUUCAGCCUUUCGUUGUUCUAGUUGUUGCACAAAUGCACUUAUUAUUUUAGGUUGGAUGUAGUUUUUUUUUCAAACCCCACUGCAUAUCAAGUUCAUCUCAAGUGGCUACCAUUACUUGAGGAUUUUGACUUGUGCAGCGGUAUCGCGUGGGGUGCAACUAACUUGGCCACCUGUAUCGAGCAUGGGGAAUGCUUUUACAAAAGGAAAGGUUGAGUGUUGCGCUUUUGGUACAUUAUUACUAGUAAAAUCACUAGUUAUCACAUUAUUAAUAAGUUAACUUAUCAUGUCUUUUAUUAGUAAUUUAACCAUCUAUUUUUUGUUUUUAGAUUUGGGUGUGGGACAAUAUAGACAUUGGUCGUCCCAAUAGAGUUGGAGCUCCAUCGGAUCUUCACGAUUACCCACUCUGUGAAUGUGUUUAAACAUGAUAGGAUAUUUUUACAAUGAUCUUAUUUUAUCAAUGUUUGGUAAUAUGAUAGAAUAUGUUAUCGCUCACUUCUUGCAGGUGGAAUAUGGGAUUACAAUUUUGUUGAAAUGUAAGGGUGAUUGACAUCGAGUUUUGUUGUGACAAACUAGAUCAGUAGAGGGAGUCUCAAGUAUGUACAAGUUUUUUGAGUACAUACACAUACAUACAAUUUAAGAUUUUCCAUUAAUUGAAUUUUAUACACUUGUACAGGUUUCUUGGAUGCCUUACACAGAGGAUGUUUUGAUUGGCUUUUUGUGUCGAGGGCUCUGCUAUCUAGCGUUCGAGGACAUACUUGGUAUACUACCAUAUAGUGGAGCUACAUGUACCCGAUAGGGUAUGUUGCGCCAUGUCACGGCCUUAGUGUUUUUGUUUGCGAAGCCCGUGCAACCGCCACCUUUCUCCGCAAAGAUGGACAAGCCUUUGUCCCUACUGCUAGCCUGGACCUUCACGUUUUAUGACUAAGUAUGCAAAAAUGAGAGAAGAGAGAGAGGCAGAUAUUGCCAAAAAACUAAGUACUCCACUACUUAGAAAAAUAGGACUACAAUACACAACUCCUCUUGUAUCUCUCCCUCUCUAUUUUUGGGCUUAAGCCAUCCCCGCAAUUUAUAGGCAUUUUGGUACAAUGAAUCCAACCCUCAAUAAUUCCCUCAUUAAGGUACAUAAAUUCACCCAUAAAGCCGUUAUUAACUCACUACUAUGCCCAUAGUAAUGAGCCCUCAUAAAUAUAAGGUGAUUCUAAGGGUUGCUCAUGUUCCUUGGGUUUCCGUUGGCAGUUAUAGAAGCAUUAAUUACAACAGUUACAUAACCCUUCAUCUCCCAUGAAAGGCUACUGGUUUGGUGCCUCUUUGGCUGCCCACUUAGGGCAUGUUUGUUUGGGUGGAAAUGGGGUGGAAGUGGAGAGGAAGGAAGUCAUUUUCACCUUAAACGACCACUUCCGUUGUUUGGUUCACCGUAAAAAAGUCAUGGUCAAAAUUCGAGUUAAUCUCAAACGGCAUAAUUGACUUCGGUCUAUCGUGGACUAAGUCAAUUAUGGUGAAGAUAGGUGAAAAAAAUAAUAAAAUAAUAUACUAGAUAAAAAUAGUUAUAUUUAAAUAUAUUUAAUUAUGUUACUAAUUACUCUUUUUCUCAGUUGACAUAUUUAAAAUAUGAUAAAAAUUGAUUAGUUAAGUUUUAAUAUUUUCUUUAUUUAUUUUGUACAAUUAAAAUAUAAUAAAAAUUGAUUAAUUAAGUAUAAAUUUUUUUUGCUUUAUAAUUUUAUUGUUGUAUUACUAUAAUUUAUGUAAAAAAAUUAAUUGAGUUAUUUUAAAUUAAAUUUUAAUUAUAUAAAAAUAUAAUUAUAUUAUUUUUAUUUGGUAAAAUAUUUUUUUAUACAUAAAUUUUAGCUUUAUAUCAUACACUCAUAUCAAACAAACAACAGAACUAAUGAAACUUCACUUCCAUAACUACAAAACAAACAGCGGGGAAGAGAUAGUUUUCACCGAACUCUUCAACCCAAAGUUCACUUCAAUCUAAAAUCCAGUUUCGAUGAAACAAACAUGCCCUUAGUGAAGUUGGACUAUGGACUUGGCCGGACUGAAUACUCACUAAGUCUAGUUUCCAUUUCCAUGCUUGCAUAUGAUUUUCCAUCUAUAUCUGGGCUGAUUCAUCCAUCUGACGUCCCCUUGACAUCAGAAGUCCUUCAUUUCAACAUUCUGCGAGCAUCAGUCCCUUAUGCAUUGACAUCGAUUCCUCCAUGUGAUAUCCUAUCUACAUUGGAGGUACAUCGGUUUGAUGUUUCAUUCGCACCAAUCCUUCUAUCUAACGUACCAUCUACAUUGGGCGUUCGUGAGAGUGAUAUUAUAUAUCGACGUAGGCAACUGCGGUAGGAUUAUAUUGUUGAAACUUUAUUAGAAACUAAGAUCGUACAUUCUGCCAUGAUUUUGAUUUCUAUACCUGAUUUGUAGGUGGCGAUUUUUACUCGUGGUUCGUCCUCGUUCGCGAUCUGCAAGAAAAUGGGACGUUUCGAGUCUAAUUCCCUUAUCCCCGGAGAUGGAGCCAUCACAGGAAAUUGGAUUAGGGUUAGACCGGGACUCCCGUAUGUUACAUAUUUAUAUAUAACUUAAUGUAAGGAUAUUAAAUCACGUCCGUCCAUCAAGGAUGUGUCCUGACACAUCCUAACCGUUAGAUCUACUAUAUCUUUAUUGAUUGACUUGAAUAGACCGACUGUAUCUUUAUAGAUCGUCUUAAAUAAAUCACGUGAGCCACAUCCAAUAUAUAUUUCUAGUGAGGCUAUAGUUGAGAUGCAGAAGAGGAUGCUACCAUUGGUAGUUGAUAGGUAGGGGACGAAACCAUUUCUUGAGGGCACCCCCAUUGGGCAUAUUGAUCAGAUACAUAACAUUGAACCUGUACACCAGGAUAGAGGAUGAUGUGCAUAUAUGAGGACGAGGUCGACAACGCAGAUGUGGUAGGGGACGAGGGCGUGGAAGGAGCAUGGAGAGGAGUUAAUUUUGUUAGGACUUUUUUGUAUUUUGAUAUAUAUUUGAUUUUUUUGAGCUCUUGUACAGGCAAUUUCCAAUUUCUUAUAUUAUUUUUAAUCAUGUUAAUGUGCUCAAUAAGUUGGUUUAGUUUAAUUUAAGCUUUUGUUAUUAUGAUUGAAAUGUCUGAAAAAAUUGAAAUUGCAUAAUAUAAGGUAUUCAAAAAAAAUCACUGAAGUUUGGAAGUAGGAAACCACUAAAAGCAGUGAAGUGUCAAGUAAUUGAGUAGUUUUUAUUGAGGUAGACUCGAUCUAUUUAAAAUAAUUCUCAUCGCUUUUAUAGACGGUGAAUGAUUUACCGACUUUAAAAACAGUGAAUCAUUCACCGCUUUUAAUGGUCUUUUUCAACCCAGAGCUUUUCUCGCAACAUUAUAUGUCUAAGUAUUAAAAAGUGGUGAACCAUUCACCACCUUUUGAAAAACAUGACUUAUUCACUGUCUUUAUGGGAGUAUUAAAAUUUUUGUAAGACGGUAAAUUAUUCACUGCUUUUAUAAACGCGGUGAAUAGUUCACCUCCUUUACUUUUUACCCUGCCUACCUAGUAGCCAUCUGUCAGUCGAAGUCUAUUUUUAUAAAUAAAAAUUUAAGCGAUCUAAUUUUAGAUUAUAUUUUGUUAAGAGGGCUAGUGGCCUAGAAACUAAGGACUAUCCUGGUGAUGGAGGCGUCAUUUUGACCGUCUUCUAAUCCAAUGUGUCGUCGAGGAGGAAUAUGAUUGGUUAAGUGACGAAAAAUGGACCAAUCACGUUGUCCACCCCGACACGAGGUCCAUUGGUUUCGCUAAAGAUGUUCAUUUUCUCUUCUUAAUCCCAACUAAAACCUAAAACCUGUCCUACAUAUUCGCAAAUAAUAAGGGAUUGUUUGGUCCCUCGAAAAAGUAUAAAUUUUUUUUAAAAAAAAUUUCAUAAAAAUAAUUUUUUUUUGUUUUUCUCCAUUUAAUUGUAUAAAAGUAGGCUUUUAUGGAAAUUUUUUAUUUCGUGUUUCAAGGACAAUUAGUAUUUUUAUUUUCUAAAAAAAUCAAAAAACAAAAAACAAUAGUUUUUCAUAAAAUAUGAAAAAAUUUUCAAAAAUAUUGAAAAUUUAUAAAAAAAAAAUUGAAUUUUUUUACACUUUUAUAAGGAAUCAAACAACCCUUAGGCAUAAAAUUCAAUAGGAAUUUACAAACUGUGGACAAGGACCUGCUGAUACCGAUGAUUCCACCAGUGAGGAUAGGGAGCUCCCAACGUAGCUCUGGUACCCUCAACAAUGGUGGAAAGAAGUGCUACAGAAGAAGAAGGGGUAGAAAGAGAGAAGAGAUCAAGAUGAAGAAGAGAAUUUUAUUCAGUUCCAAAAACCAUCCCAAUUACAGAGGGGCUUGCUAUUUAUAUCUAGACCAUGUGGCCUUUGUGUAACUAAGUAGAACUAGUAACUUGGCAGUUCAGGUAGUUGAGAAGUUGUUAGAGGCUGUUAAGUGGUAGAAGCGAAUGGACGGUUGCAAUCCACUCUAGCGGCUGAAGAGUAGUGAGGAGCCCAUUUGAUUUCACAGUGGCACUUGUUCACUACCCCCCCCCCAACUCAGGAAGAUCCUGAUGCAUAAGGAAUGAAUAUCCUUUGUGUUCUGGUUGCGAUUGUUAAGGUCAGGGAAACUUCCCAAUGUGGAUGCUCACUGCGUUGGUUAAACUGUAUCAGAAGCUGUGUCGUCGCUUCCCGCCGUGUUUGCUAGCGAUAUCUACACAGACAGGUGACGAUAACAGCUGCGUUGAGUUAACAAAGCAAGGUAUUGUCGGGCGUUUUUUUGAGCCAAGCCAAUUUUUCUUUUUUAAUGUGCGACUGAAAAGUUGGUAGAGAUCUUUAGCAUUUUCAAUAGAUGGUAGAUUGUAUGCACUGGACUUAUCUUUGCAUUAUCUCGAGACGGGCCAAAGUAUGUCAAUAAUUCUUGGGACAUCGUUGUGGUGGAACUGAUAAUGUGUUAUAGGACUGUAGCUUGACAUGAUACUAGUCUUCCAAGCUUGAAACUCUCGUUGCGAUCACCUUGUGUUGCCAAUUGUUUCAAUUCUAUAUUGCUUUAGCAGAUUCUGUCUUUAUCACGUCUAGGGACGUUCUUCGGUAGCUCAUUUGAAUGUUCGAUCCACCCCGAAAUCAUAGAAGAAUCACUAAGUAUGGAUUGUGGACUAGGUGCGGAUUAGGUACCAUUUAUUAGGGGUAGCCUUCGUAGAGAUGGUAAUAGGUAUUGCUACCACCACUCUCUAAUUAAGAUUUAACUAAUUCUUGGUGAUCCCCAGUCAUACACUGACGUAGUUUCAAGCACUAUGACAACUUCGGUUUGAUUUUUUCCAUCGGAUUGCGCGGAUGAUAGCGGUGGAGAAUUUUUAUUUAACGUGCAAUUUUGAAUACUCUUGACCGAAAAGUGCUGAGGAGAUUGUCACCUCGAUGCGCUUAACAAUGUUUUAGGAUAGCUGAUGUAAUUGUAGAUGUUUGUUUAGAAAAUAAUUGAGCUACUGUUGAACAGGUAUAGGGAGUGAUUUAUGCCACAAAAUGAGCAAUCUUGCCUAAGGGUCUGAUUAACCCACAAACUAAUUACUUCUUUUAUUGAGAGGGAGGCACCUGUCAGCCGCUCAUCCUGCGCCAGCGGAAGCAUAUCCGGCACGUGCACAGACCCGCCAUACACCUGCAGUAUAUAAGGCGUCUACAAGUAGCAAAACGAUAGGAAGUAAAACAAGGAAAAUCCUAUCCUGAUAUCAGAGCAAAGUACAAGUCGAUAUACAACGGGUAUACAGUCCAAGUCAAUAUACAAAGAGUAUACAAUCCAAGAUCUCAGCAAAAAAAAGGAGAAGUAACACUACUAUAAUCUCAACCCCGAAAGGAAAAUAUACAUCACGGGUGUACAAAAAGAAUAGAUACAAUGGUGGUCUCUCUAUAUAUAUAUGGACAUCACCCUCGGCCGUAGCCCGAGUAGCAAGGUGAUCGACUAGCACGCUCCUAGUAGUCCCUAGCUAGGCGCGACUCCCUUGCCACGAUCCCUAGCCUCUCCUGUAACAGGCUCUGUAAAAACAACCACCAAAAGGGCGUGAGAACUAUUAACAAUAGUUCCCAGUGGGUAAGCCGCCAGCCUCGGCGAAUUACACCACUAGGCUCAAGAUGUACAGAAUGGAAAUAAAAGCAGUAAUUUGCAUGAUAUAUUUUCAAUGCUAACAAUUCAUAAGCCAAUGUUAACAAAUAAUGAACAUGUAAACAACAUGUGAUCAUAGCAUCAACAGUAAUGAAUCAACUGAAUGAUAGAAGCAUGGCUACUACUAUAAGCAUGCAUAAACAUAGCAUAAGUGUGUAAGUAACUACUGUACACUGUAACUGGUAAUCAUUCAUUACUGUCCAAUUUCCUUUAGCACUUUCCUUUCAUUCACAGGGAUCUACUUAAGGUAGUCCAGCUUGCGCCGCGCCUAAUGGCCCCGUGGUAGUAUACACUCCCCACGGCAAUCCACUUCGGCACCCAAUCCCGCACGGGCGAGCAACUGUCGCGUAGGCCAACUCCGGAGUGCCGGCUUGUAGGGAGCUACCCUCACAAGCGUGUGCGAAUGAGCACAAUGGCAAGCAAGCAAGGUCCACAGUCCAACAUAUCUCAAUUAUUACAAUUUCAUUUGCAAUAUUCUCGGUCUCGAUCCUCGAUCGGAAUUUCAAUAUAACAAAUAUGAACAAUAACUAGAAUCCACUAGUUUAGUAAGCAUGUAAGAGUAAUGCUAAUUUACAGGCAUUAUAAUCUUUUUACUAUCAUGGCACUACCAACAUAGUCCCAAAGCAUGUCACGGUUCUCUACUUUAGAGUCAAUAUCAUUGUUCUCUACUUUACAAAAACAUAAUUAUCAUGUCCAUUGAUUAUUCAACUGAACUAAAGAUAAACAUAAACAUAAGCAUAAAUACUGUUAUGCAUAAAUUCUCUCUACUUCAUAGAGAUUCUAGUCGAUGUUAUGGCAAAGAAGUUCCAAAGAACCAUAAAGUGACAAUAUCGCACAACUAUGUCAAUUCGAUACAUAUAGAACAUAGGGGAGCUUCACUUGCUCUGGUUAGGUCAAACCCACCUCGUACUAUGCUCAAAACAGUCACAAGACGUCCCAAAAUCAGCCCCACGAAGUCACACUCCUGCUGAAAAUAAGGCAUCAAAGCCGAGUCAAAAUGACGACCGAAUGUCCGAUUUCGGCCUAAUUUACACUUAGUACAAAGUAACCCCUUGAAUCCCUAUUCUGGGUUAGUGUUUUACCUCAAGAGAAGCUGCCAAAAAGCCCUUCGAUGCCAGUCGAAGAUGGUCCAAGGGUCAAUUACCCUUUCGCUGCGAACAUGAUCAAAACGGCGUCAAAAUCAUUGACUACCAAUAAAUAUUGCCGGAAACUUGCAAUUUCAGUUUUCUAACUGAAGUUCUAGCUUACCCUUAGUUAGAAUACCCUCCAAACCAGAACCCCAGGUCCUCAAUUUAGUUAAAUGAUACUUGGAAACCUGCUGCGAAAAGAACGACCUCAAACUGCGUCAAUUAUUCGAUUAGGUCGCCUAAGGGUCCGAAAUAGUUCAAUAGUUGACUAAAUACCUGUCUCAAGCCUCAAGGCAAUUUUUCCCUGGAUCAAAGUGGUUAAAUCACAGCUAGAUAUCUCCUUUCUAGCUGCAAGAACCCCAGACAACUCUGCUGGAAGCAACGGAAUAAGAACACGUCAAAUUCCGACGAUAAACCGCAAACUAGAGAGAAAUUGAACUAAAUACUUUUCUAAAGUUCUCGUUCAGCAACUCUCAGUAAUAGACAUGAAAAACACUGUCAAAACACCUCCCUUUACCUUUUAAAAGCUGGCCCCAAGCCCACCGAACCAGCGAGCGACGAGCGCGGCGCGAAAUCGGCGCGAAACGGCGACUUUUAUCUAGAGAGAGAAAAACCCUAGAGAGAGAAAGAGAGAAUGGUGCAAAGUUGCUUCUCUGGUCUCCAGCAACCUCCACUGAGCCCCAGGAGUCGUGCUGGAAUGAAAUAGAUAGGAUCAAAGUGUGAAAUUACCAAAAUAGCCCUGCUGCCACGUUUUUCCAUUGUGUACCGGUACACCAUAAUGGCUGUACCGGUACACCAAGCAGAAAAGGCUGAUUUCGCCCAAUCAAUGCACUUUCCUGUUUUUAGCCAUCCAAUCACUUUCAAACUUGUCCAAAAACUUGUCUAAGUCCUUUAGAACACGUAGGAUAGUUCCACAACUCAUUCCACACACUCGGACUCCGCAAUUUGCUAGAGUCAGUGUAUUACACAACCCUUCUAUGAAAUCCAUAGAAAUUUCAGUCCAGAUGUUAUUUGGUAUAGGCAAGGGUUGUAAAAGGCCUGCUGGAGCUACAGUCUCAUAUUUAUUUUGCUGACAGACUGUGCACUCUUUAACAAGUUGAUCCACAUCUUUCCUGAGUCCUUUCCAAUAGAAAUAGCUCUUUAGUCUUUUAGCAGUGACCUCUGAUCUUGAAUGUCCCCUAGAGCUGCUGCUAUGGAAGUCAUUCAUCAGCCUUAAUCUCAGAUUUGGAGCAUUACUUACAACCAGUUUCCCCUUUCGCCUAAGUAGACCUUGUGUCCAUGUGUAAUGUGACCAAGAAUGACCACCUCGUUGCUUGUCUGCUAGGAUUUUCUUAAUUCUUUCAUCCUGGUUCCAACUAAGCUUGAUUUGCACUAGAAGUUAAGUAUGGAUUGCGGAGAUUGCUUGUAGGGAAGGUGCUCUAGAUAAAGCAUCAGCAACCACAUUUUCCCGUCCAUUCUUGUAAACUAAUUCAUAAUCAUAUCCCAUUAAUUUGGAUAUCCAUUUUUGCUGACUAGGCAUAGAAACUCUUUGUUCCAACAGAUAUUUUAAACUUUGAUGAUCUAUUUUGACCUUAAAAUGCCUCCUAAUCAAGUAAGGUUGCCAUUUUGGAUUGCGAUAACUAUUGCUAACAUCUUCCUUUCAUAUGUAGAAAGCUGCUGAUUCCUUGGUGACAAUGGCUUGCUCAUAAAUGCAAUGGGCCUUCCUUUCUGCAACAAGAUGCUCCCACGCCCACACCAGAUGCAUUGGUUUCUACAAUAAAUUCUGCAGAGAAAUCCGGCAAAGCUAGCAUUGGAGUAGUAGCAACAGCGACUUAAAGUUGUUGCAAUGCUUGAAGGCUUGCUUCAGUCCAUUUAAAACCCCCUUUUCCUAACAUCUCAUGUAAAGGCUUACUAAUUUUCCCAAAGUUUUUAACAAACCUUCUGUAAUACCCUGCUAAGCCUAAAAAAAACCCACCCCUCAAUUCCUUCACCGAAACAGGCUGCGGCCACUUUAAUAUUGCUUCCACCUUUUGCCUAUCCAUAGCAACUCCCUCUUGGCUGAUGAUGUGGCCCAAACACUCCAGUUGAGCUGCGGCGAAAACACUUUUUUUUUUUUCUUGAUAAGCAAUGAGUGUUGCCUUAGCACGUCAAAAGUAGUUCUCAAAUGCAACAAGUGGUCUUCUUCCCCCUUGCUGUAGAUUAAAAUGUCAUAAAAAAAAACUAAGACGUACUUCCUCAAAUAGGGUUUAAAAAUGUGAUUCAUCAAUCCUUGGAAAGUCGAAGGGGCAUUAGUAAGGCCGAAGGGCAUUAAUAAAAAUUCAUAAUGACCCUUAUGUGUACGAAAUGCAGUCUUGAGGAUGUCGGCUUCAUGCAUCCUGAUCUGGUGAUAACCAGAUCUCAGGUCCAACUUUGAGAAAAGAAGAGCUCCAUUCAGUUCAUCGAGCAACUCCUCUACCAGGGGUAUAGGGAAUCUAUCUUUGACGGUGUUGUCAUUUAGAGCUCUAUGGUCGACGCAGAAUCUCCAGGAGCCAUCUUUUUUCUGAACUAAUACAACCGGGGAAGAGUACGGACUGUUACUAGGUCUGAUAACGCCUUGAGUCAGCAUCUCUUGUACGAGUUUUUUGAUUUCAGACUUUUGGUAGGUCGGAUAUCUAUAGGGUCUAACAUUGAUUGGUUCAACUCCCUCUUUCAACGGAAUUUUGUGAUCUAUUCUAGCUGGGGGAUGACUUUGUGGAUCAGUGAAUAGAUCGGCAUAUUCUUCCAAAAGGAGUUGUAAUUGUUGAGAGAAUAGCUCACUUACUUUCUGCUUCUUCGUUUCUUCUUCUUUUAUUAAUUCUGGUCCUACAAUCUCGGAUGCUAUUGCAUGAAUAGAACACAAGUGUGCUGCAGCGAUCGUGGUGCUUCCUUGAACUAUUUUUUUAUUGUCACGCCCCGAGACCGCUCCCAAUUUGGUCCAGUUCGGGCACGCUGACAGACCGCCGAACGGACCGGGGUUUCCCCUGUACGCGGACAGAGUCUCCCCUGUACGUUCUAGGCGUCGCAAUCCAAACAAUGCACAUUACAAUUGUUCCAACCAGGAACAGAUAUCAAUCAUGAUUGCGUAAGGAAAGUAUCACAACAUAACACAUCCUAUGUUAUUACAAGCAUUCACAUUAGAUUCAUUUUACAUUACAUUUAACCUCCAAAUGCAAUUAAGUUAUUACAACAUUUAUUUAUUACAAUUUGAUACAUUUGCUUGCUUUCAUUUUCUAUACCCCUAAGCUACGUCGACGGGGUACUGCUAGCUCUGGUCUCUGGGGGUAGGGCGCUAUCUAUGGAGCUACGCCCUUGCCUCGCGCCGCCGCGCCGCUCACGUGCGAACCUGUAAAACCCCAAAACAACGUGGGGUGAGAACCAACUCCAUGGUUCCCAGUGGGUACGGCCACCCAAGGGAGGAGCUCGACCAACAGGUCCAAGGGAGGCAAAUACAAGUUAGUCCAAUAAACAGAUAGAUAUGUAUAUCAUAAACAUGCAACUAACUUUACCUUGCUUUGCCUCACAACUGCAAUGAUGUCAUGCUAUAUGCAACAGGAAUAUAUGCAACAACUAGUAGAAUUAUUGAUUCUACAAUCAAUCUCGCUAAUCUUAGCUCAUGUCAUCCAACUCUAAGGUUUCCACUACCUUAGGUUAUCACAUUUACCACUAGCCCUCAAGGUUCUAUCUACCUUAUUCCAGCUAGCCACCCGACUCGGCCUCGAGUCAAUCAACAGCGGAUAAUCCGCGCUCUGCCCGGCUCGAGGUGAAGGAUCCUGUCGCAUGCACCUCAGCCUGCAAGCCAAGAACCACAUCGCCCAACGGUCCGCCCGAAGGUCCGUGCACCGUGGUCAGGGAUCCGCUAGUGGGAGAGGAAACAUAGCCGCGUACACCCAUAGCCAAGAUCCCCGAUAGGGAGAGGAACAUGCCGUACACCCUAGCGCUCUUUGUUCUUGCUUAGUCAUAAUCCUCAAAGUUCUUUCCGGUGGGAGAGGAACAUCGCCGCAUACACCCGCGGUCCAAGAACUAUUGAGUUCACAAGUACUGGGAUUCCGGAAUCGACUUCACAAGUCAAGGGUCCAUAUCCAACCCUAUACUAUUGACCUAUCUAGGUCCAAUGCACUUUCCACCCUAGGUCCAACUGACUCUAGGUCUAAUGCCUCAAUUUCACAACCUAGGUUUACCUUAACUCUAGGUUCAGUUCUCAACCUAUGUUCUUUAACACUAGGUUAGAUGCCACACACCUAGAUCCCGACUCUAGGUUCAUACUCAACCUAUGUUCUUUAACACUAGGUUAGAUGCCACUCGUUAUUUAUCCUAGGUUCAACAACACUAGGUUCGAUGUCAUCUAUGUCCGACCUAUGUUUAUUAACACUAGGUUCAAUGCCACUCGAUCUACUUGACGUCCUAUUGUCAUAUCGAGUACUAUAGAUAUCCACAUUUCAUCUCGCAUACAUUCUAUGAUGCCAAUAUGCAUUUACUAUCUAGCAUGAACUCAUAAUGCUAAGUGCAACUAGCAUAUAUUCCAAUACACACAUACAUAUCAUUUUACAUGGAUCUACUUAGCAUUUGCAUCAUAUUAUUAACAUGCAUUAUUUACAUUUAUAUGCAUCAUCUAUAUGCCUCAUUUACAUUCAUAUGCAUCAACGUGGAUUCUUAAUCAUCUUAGACAUAAAGGGCGACCUAGUCGCUUCGGUAAACACAACCCACCUUAACUCGCGUUCCGAUUGCUCGUCGACACUUGCAAUCGGCCUCCCGCGGCACCCGUGACCCGGUUCGGCUCGAACUCUUGCGCGACCACCCGAACGGCCACCAAUCCGCGAUCCGUCUAUUCUGGAGUUUAUUCCACGACACCACGAUGCUCCCGAUCCGCUUUCAUGAUUUUUGGAGGCUUAUCUCGCGUGCUGCGGCUAUCUGUACCAAAACAGACUGUUUCGUCAAUAACUUCGCGUACACUCGUCGUAUCGUCGAACCGAGCGCACCAACGCGUUCGUUAUACCCCCAAUUAGGUUUACAGAGGGUUAAUUGAGAUCAAACCCAUCUAUUUACAAAAAUCCCAUUUUUGAGCCCUAGUUUGCGACUACGGCAAAAUAUCCCAAAUCGAUCUCCGAUUCAUGCAUUAAUCUACUCAUAAGCAUGCUAGGAUUCCAUCUAAACCAUUCUUAGAGUGUAUUAACCAAACCCUAAGAAAUCACCAUUAAAGAGCUUCCAAGAAGCUUACCUCCUAAAGCCUCUCCAAGCACAAGGAAGGAAUGAAGAAGAUGGAAAGCUCUUCCUCUUCUUCUUCUUCUUCUUCUUCCUCUUCUCCUUCUUCUUCUUCUUCUUCUCUUCUAUUUCAUUUAGAGAGAGAGAGGGACACGGUUGGGGUGAGGGAGAAGAGAGAAAUGGGCUAAAACCCACUUCUAUACACUCUAAUAAGUGCAAAAUUGCACUUAAGCCCCUCAACAAGCCUCUUCUUGCAACAGCCCGAACUGGGCAUUUUCGGGGUUCGGGAACCGGUCUCUUCAUGAGGGACCGGUCUCUGAGAGACCGGUCUCUCUACCUGGGACCGGUCCCAGAGAGACCUCCAGCCCAGACUUAGCCAAUUUUCAGCUUUUUCACCGUUUUCGUCCGUUUUCGCUCGUUUGACCUCCGAUUCACUUCAAAUCGAACCGGGACUCUCCAAAUAUGUUUUCGAGCAUGUUUUCAUCAUCUUUUCAUCCACAUUGAUGUCGGAUUUAGCUCACGGCCCAACAUAGCCUUUCGGGUUCCGUUUCCGUGCCUACGCGCACCGAAACGCCCGAUAGCUCCCGAACUUCACCGAACUUCACCGAAACCAUCCAAAUGGCUUUCCAAAGCGACGUACACCAUAACUUCAUGAUUUUAGAAGUUCGGUACCUUACAUUUAUGCUCCUUUCCUUCUAUCAUCUUCAAAUCUGCUCUUUGAGACCCCCUGAGAACUACCUUCCGAUCCUUGACCUGAAAUUCCAUUUGGAGUUGUUUGAAGUCCCAAAGAAUAGGACCCAACUGGAUUAACCAUUGGAUUCCAAGCACCAUGUCGCAACCCCUUAAUGACAAUAACAGUAAAUCAGCAUUAAACUCCAAACCUUGCAUUUUCCACUUAAAGGACCUGCAUAUUGAAGAACUUAGUAGUUUGUUGCCAUCAGCCACAGUUACCCUCACCGCCGGCACUUCUUCUAGAGAGCACCCUAGUUUAGUGGCGAUGGUAGUAUCAAGAAAAUUGUGGGUACUUCCCGAAUCAAUGAGAAUGUGCACCUUCUUAUUCUUUACGGUUCCAGAUAACCUCAUCGUCCUGUAGUCUUGUAACAUUACCUGACCCGCAAGCGCAUGCAACGAUAUUUGAGGUGUAGGUUCAGAACCCUCAGAACAAACGUCAUUGGAAGUAUAUGUUUCCUCCAUGACUACUGCAGCAUCUGAGGGCUCUUCCUCUAGUAAUCUAUUCGAUAUAAUUGCUUCUUUCUACACUGAUGGCCAGAGUAUAUCGAUCCUCGCACCAAAAGCACAGCCCCUUAGCUCUUCGUUCAUCAAAUUCAGCACUAGUAAUAUUCCUAGGAGAUUUUGCUGGUAUUGGAGUCGCUCCGAGUGUCCGAGUGCUCUGAAGUUUUGCGAAUAAUUUUGGUUGUUGAAGGGUUUCGGAGUGGGUAAUAGGGGUGGAUUCCCAGUAGUUACCCUCGUUCCCCCUUUGUGAUUCUUACUGUGCCCUUCUAUUGCCACUUCUUGCAACUUAGCCAAGCUCAAUGCUCGCUGCAAUGUCCGGGGCUGGAACAUUUUUAUUGGAAUCUGAAUUUCAUCUUUUAACCCACUAAUGAAACAACUCAUUGCAUAUUCUUCCAAUAAUUCCACUCUAUUAAGAAGUGCGUCGAAUUUAUCCUGAUAUUCUAAUACAGAUCCUAUCUGUCUCAACCCCUUAAGCUCAGCCAUGGGAUCAUCAAACAAAUCUGAUCCGUACCUAGCACUUAAAGCUGAUAUGUACUCCUCCCAACUAGGAAUUGCACGCGUUAGCCGCGAUUUCAUAAAAAUUUGAUGCCACUGCAGAGCCCUUCCUUCUAAAUGAAUUGCCGCUAAUUUGACUUUGGCAUCUUCAGCAGUUCCAUCAAUUUCGAAGAACUGCUCAUAGCGAUACAUCUAGCCCUUUAAAUUUUCCCCAUUGAACCGAGGGAACUCAAUCUUAGUGAAUCGCGGGAAAAUUUGAGACCUAGGGGCAUUGUUACCUUCCGAGCGCUGGUUUGUAGGGGAGUGGUGACCCCCACAAGAAGAAGUUGAUGCAUGCAAAUUUACAAACAUUUGACGUACCUCCUCCAUGUCCAUGUGUUGCCGCUCCCUUAAUUCUUGGAUGGCUUGAUCUUGUCGAGUUGUCGAUUCCUUGACCAAUUGCCGGGGCAUUUCCUCCAUCUUCUUUUGCUCUUGAGCCCUCGUUUCCAUGUCCACCCACCACGCCGAGGAUCGGCGCUCUGAUACCAAAAUGAUACCGAUGAUUCCACCAGUGAGGAUAGGGAGCUCCCAACGUAGCUCUGGUACUCUCAACAAUGGUGGAAAGAAGUGCUAUAGAAGAAGAAGGGGUAGAGAGAGAGAAGAGAUCAAGAUGAAGAAGAGAAUUUUAUUCAGUUCCAAAAACCAUCCCAAUUACAAAGGGGCCUUGCUAUUUAUAUCUAGGCCAUGUGGCCUUUGUGUAACUAAGUAGAACUAGUAACUUGGCAGUUAAGGUAGUUGAGAAGUUGUUAUAGGCUUUUAAGUGGUAGAAGCAAAUGGACGGUUGCAAUCCACUCUAGCGGCUGAAGAGUAGUGAGGAGCCCAUAUGAUUUCGCAGUGGCCUGUUCACUAAAUCAGAGUGUAUCACCUGCCGAUUUAUCUAUAUACUAAUAUGUAUGAUGAAUACUUUAUCUUGUUAUAUAUAUGUAGGCGUGAACUAAAAUGUUUAUUAAUUAUAAUUUACCUAUUUGAUAAACAAGCCGCCCAGUGGAAGGAGGGGACUACACAAAAUACUCAUUAAGAAAAAAAAAAAAAAGAAAAAAAAAGACUGCCUUGUUUUAUAUUGGGGUUUUUUUUGCAAAUAGCCCCCUGAGCAAUUUUUAUUUUAAAAAUAGUCCUAUCAAAAUUAAAAUUGCAAAAAUGGUCCUGUCUCUACCACGCAGGCGCCACGUCAGCGCCACGCGGACAGGGCUGGGGCCAAGGUAUUAUGUUGAACAAGGUGAACCAUUCACCGUGUUUAGACACGAUGAAUGGUUCACCGUGUUUCUUACAUAUUUUUUGUAUAUUAAAAAGUGGAAUAAGGAGUAGGGAUGUCAAUAGAUAUGGAUAUUCGAAAUAUUAUCCGAAUCCAUACCCGAAUAAAUUAUAUAUAUAUACGUAAUUUAUUUUUGUUUAUUUAUACAAUAUAUAAAAUAUUUAAUAAUUUUUAUUCCUUAGAAGCCUGGGUUGGAUGAAGAAUCAAGAAAUAAAAAUUAUUAAAUAUUUUAUAUAUUGUAUAAAUAAAUAAAAAAAUUUUAUAAUAAUAAUAUAUAUAUAUAUAUAUAUAUAUAUAUAUAUAUAUAUAUAUAUAUAUAAUUUAUUCGGAUUUGAAUUCGAAUAAUAUUUCAGAUAUCUAUACCUAUUGACAUCCCUACUCCUUAUUCCACUUUUCAAUAUACAAAAAAUACAUAACAAAAAGUACGUACUAAACACGGUGAAUCAUUCACCAUUCACCGUGUUUAGACACGGUGAAUGGUUCACCAUGUUCAACUUAACAUACGGGCCGAGCCCUGCCCGCGUGGCGCUGACGUGGCGUCUGCGUGGCAGACCCGGGCCAUUUUUGCAAAUUAAAUUUUGACAGGAUUAUUUUUGAAAUAAAAAUUUGUCAGGGAUCUAAUUGCAAAAAAACCCUUUAUAUUGUUAGGAGUUCAAAGAACAUUAAUAUCUCAGAUUUGAUCUUCACGGAAUAUUGAUGAUUAACUAAUUGAUUAACUAAUCAAAUAACAGUACACUAUUAACUUUUACAGUCACUUGACACAACUUGUACCAUCAACUCAACUCUCACCAGAAUUAAUCCACAGAAGAGAGAAAAUUACGUUUGUUUAAACACCUGUAAAGAACAGAGCAGGAAAAAAAAAGCACCAAAAUCUACUCAUAAUGGAUAAAAUCCCCACCAUCUCCUUACAAUCUCUGAAAACAACAAAAUUGUCGUACAACAGUUGACACUAGCGCAAAGCUUUAAUGCGAAUUCUCGACUUCACAAUCGAUCAGCCACUCCCGCCAAGGAAAGAGCAGCGUUUUGGGAUAAGUUUUUUUUGGUGCACGAAUAGCAACCAAGUGCAGAGUACGCCAGUGUGAUCUCGAAAACACCUCUUCAAGUAGCCAUUCAAUGAGAGCCUUCCGACUAGCCUCUACGGGGCGACUUUAGUUUCUACUGGCAAUGUCAAAGAAUAUAAUGCCAACUUAGCUGCAUGGAAACCAUCUACCUGCGUGAUCUCAAUACCCGAGAAUAUAAGUAUCUCGAUAGAACUUAGAAGACAACAAUUAUGGUAUAAAAGAAGUCGACAGCAAAGACGUACUGCAUCCCUCACAAAAAUUUGAAAAGUCCAAGUGAUAGAUCAAAAGAGGUUCAUAAUUCAUAUACAACACUGCAAGGAAAAUACAGGCAUAACAUAUCAACUCCAGCAAAUCUCCAUGUCAAUUAGAACAGUAAUCUGACUCAGCAGAGUCCAGCAAAAUGAAAAGCUCAGGCUACAUGAAAAUUCUCAGAUACAAAAUAAUUUGUAGGAAAGGAGAGCUUAUCGAUUUCGGUGCUACAUAAUAAAAGCAACUAAUAUAUCUUCGAAGAUCUAUUCAUGAUAAAUGGAAUUUUCAGUGAGUGAGAUUGUGCAUCAUCUUAAGAAAUAUAAACAUUUCAAUUUUUGCAAAGAAUAUGAAUGUUUCACUUGGUCUCAACCAAAACAGAAUGGUGGAGGGGACUUUGCAUUGUAAUGCACAACCAGAACAAAAAUAGACAGUUUAGAGCGUCAAAAUUAUGAUAAAGCAUACCUACAGAAUGCUUGUUUGGUAUGUCAUGUACGGCUCUCUUGAGCUGAACCCUUCUGAGUCAUCAUUAGUUCUUGAAAUUGCAUCCGUUUGGUAUUCCUAAUAUUGACGAUAUUUUGUGGCAUCAGCUCAAGAUGACCAUGUUCUCCGACCAACUGGAAGAAUUCUUUCUUGGUUAGACUUUUCUUCUCGACCAAGUGAUCAACCACAAAAUCCAUGAGCUUUCGGUUUCGCUGUAGAAUCUGAAAGAAAUAACUCCACAUAUUGGGUCUGGCCAUAUCAAAUGGUGUAAGCCAAGAAGGAAAAGGGACAUUUAGAUACACAUGGCAUAAGCACAAACCUCUUUUGCUCGCUCAUAGCAUUUAUUUAGAAUUCGGUGAGCCUCCAAAUCAAUUUCCUGAAAGAAUAGACAAUGUCAUGAAUGGUGCUUGUGAGAGAGAUGGAUAUUGCAGAAGAGAAUAUUGCUUAACAUACAUUAAUAUGAUCUGCAACCCAGAAAUCAGAUAAACCAUAAUACUUCUCAGAUAGGCCACCAAGGAUGAAGCUCCGUGCAGCUGACCUGGCAUUAUCCGCUGUCUCUGCCCAAAUUGUACUCAACUGCAACAAAUUCCAUGUCAUAAUUAAGGUUUUACAUGUAUAUCGCUCUUCAUUCAAGCGACACCACGCCUGAGUAUCUUUCAUACUUCACAUAAUUAUAUAGGCAACAACAUUAGAACCAACAACAGAGAGAAAGCGAAGGAUAGAUGAAAGAGGCCUAGCAAAGGAGAAAAAGUACAAAUAUCAGCAUUACUAACCUGACUCUCACCAUACCAGAUUUCAUCAGCAGCACGAGGAGCAAUUUGAACAGUAAUGUGAUCAAGAAGAGAUUGUCGACUGGUAAAUUAAAAGCAAAAGAGCGUAAGAAUUUGAAAUUCAUUCGUCGGAGAAGUGCAACAUAAACAAGUUAGACAAAUCAAAUAUUACAUCCAAAAUCAUGGGUGAUCAAGCAGAAAUUCAUUUCGAUAUCUUUUGAGCUCAAAAUUGACAAAUAUUUAAUUUGAAAUCAUAACUACCUAAGCAUUCCUUCUGUAAACUUCAUAUGAUCCAUUUUCACUCGCACAUAUCCCAAUUCUCUGCCAGCUCGAGGUGCAAUUGUUACCUAGAUAGAAGUAACCAAACUGUUAACAUAUCAUGCCUCAUACUGCAUAAGGAAACCCUAACAACGAGAAUAACAAGCACGGUGGCAGCAAGAUAUAAGAAUAAUAAGCCAAAAUAGAAGUAUAAAAGAACAACAACAUGUAAAUCAUUAAUUUUUAACUUCCCACUGCCAUAUUUUCACCUUUAUAAAUUAAAAUAAAUUCCAUUCACAAAAUCCCCAUAAUGCAUGUUACAGAGUGAUAUAAUAAAUCAAGUAUAGCUAGACGCUUAAUGCUGAGUUUUUUCUAUUACGAAAGACAACUAUUUAUUAUGCCUCUAUCAGAGGGUGGAAUAUUUUAACUUGUCUACAUGAUCAAUUUACUUAGAUGCAGCAUUAAUAACAUCAUUUGUUCACAGAAGAGAUAAAUAUGCAAGACUUCAUGGACAAGCACGAGGUGAGAUUAACUCUGAUAUUAGUUGAGUUGAUCAUACUGCAGGUAGCUAAUGUGCAUCCAAAAAUUUAAUUACCAUUUUGCAGAUAAUUAAACACAGAGAAAAAUAGCGGGGCAGAUGAUAACUCUUGAUAUUCUUAUGAUAUAAGAAAAAAUCAACACAGCUGACAAAGCCAGGUCAUAACCUAUGUCAAGCAGCACAUUAUUAUACUAAAGAUGGCAAGUAAGAAGUAAAUUAGCUUCAAUAAAACUAGAGCAGAGUACCAGACAAUACAAACUCAAUAUUCUUUAGAUCGGGAAAGUUCACAGCGACAACAGCCAUAGCUGCCUCGUUAAGAGCUAGUCGUUUCCACAUAUCCAAACUCCUAUCCUUCUUAUCCAGCAUUCCCCUCUCUUCUAUUUGUGCUGCUUGCAACAAGUCAUCAGUUGUUAUCUGUACCAAAAUCAAGUAUUUAUUAUACAACUGCUGUACGUAGAAAUAGGCCAUGAUCAGCCUUAGUUAUAAGAUUUUCUUUAUUCAGUGACCGCUUCCUGUUUAUAGUGAAUCAGAGGAAAGCGUUAGGCAGCAAGAGAAGAGAAAAUGAGGCAUACCUCAGAUCUGCCAUCUCGCAUCAUAUUUAUGGCAGCAAUCUCUACUAUAUUUGCUAAUUCAGCACCAACCAUUCCUUCGGUCAUACUAGCAACAGCCAUAUAAUCUACAUCAUCAGCCAUUGGCUUUUUCCGAGCAUGGACCUAUUCAUAGCAUUUUGUAAAGGAUUAUUAGGUCGGAAACACUAAUGUAAUGUCAGCAUGCUUGAAAAUUGUAACAGUAAAACCAUUCAUGUAUAGUUUAGUAUAAUUAAAACAGAGUAUGAAUAAUUAAUUAAUUUUCCUAAUCUUCUUAUACGAAGGGUAUGAAAAGUUACAGCCGCCAAAAAGUUCAAUUUUAAGCUGCCUGCAGUGGAAUAACAGUAGUUUGAGCUUUGAAGAACAUGGUUCGCACGGAAGACAUCAUAGAGAAACAAUAUUUUAUACGUGUUUAACAAUGUAUAUAGUUUACCUUUUCAAUUUUCUGGCUUCCAAGUGAAGUACACAUACCUAGAUUUCACAAAGAGCAUCUCUAACUAAUAAAAAAAAAAAACAAUUAUAAAUCACUACCUUGAGAAUCUCAACUCGACCUAUGAGGCUUGGCUUUGGAAUAUAUAUUUUCCUGUCAAAUCGCCCAGGCCUCACAAGUGCUGGAUCAAGAAUAUCUGGCCUAUUGGUUGCAGCGAUGGUGAUGACUUCUCCUCUUCCUUCAAACCCAUCCAAGCAUACAAGGAGCUUCAGUGAGCCCAUGAAGCAAAAUGUCAAAACAUAAUUGAAUAUUUAAGAGAGCAACAACUACUUUAAAUAGAUAAUGACGCAUUCUGCGUAGACUUUUUACCUGAUUAAGGGUGGCAUCUCGUUCCUGUCCGCCAGAACCUUUAAUUAGACCACGUUCUCUUCCAACAGCAUCUAACUCAUCAAUGAAGACAACUGAAGGGGCCUGUGAUACACAGAGAAUCAGAGAUAGCACUUCACAAAUUUUGCACAACUAGCUAGUGAAACAAAUGAUAUUACGCAUCUACCAUGUCAAGUUGUCAACCAUGAUAGACAUGAAAAAUGCAUAUCCUAUAUUAAGAAAGUGUUGAAAAGAACAGGAAUUUUCUAAGUAAACCAGCAAGAAUAACAAAAAAAAAAAAAAGGUAAUAAAUAUGGGUGAAAGUGCAAUUAGACAAUUCUUACGUUCUCUUUUGCCUCCUGAUAAAGUGCACGAACACGAGAUGCACCUACACCAACAUAUAUUUCCACAAAUUGUGAAGCUGAAAUUGAGAAGAAGUUUACACCUGCUUCGCCAGCAACAGCUUUCGCUAAUAACGUUUUACCCACUCCAGGAGGCCCGCAUAAUAGUAUGCCACCUGAACAAACAAUUAAUUUGGUGUAUGCAUUUAGACAUAAUGGAGAAUUAUGAUAAAGUUUUUAGUAAAAGAAAAGAGGAGGGACCUGAUGCAGGUAGUAUAAACUACAAGCCAAGCAUUCAUGAUGAAACUCAUAGCAGAGCACAUCUCUACAAUUUUUAUCAAAACUUCUAAGCAACUAAACUAUAAGAAAAUAAUUGUGUGGACUGCAUCAGCUAAACCUUAAUGGUUAUCAUCAAAUAUCCAAACUAGUUUAGUCUUUAAGCUAAAUACUAAGUAGUCUGAAGAACCAAAUCGUAGAUCUUAUUUCGUAUGAGACACUGACCAGGAAUCUUCACUCCUCGCCGCCGAUACAUCUCCCCUAACGUGAAAAACUUAACAAUCUCCUCAAGCUCAAGCCUUAUAUUCCCUAGACCAGCAACAUCACUGAACUUGACAUCAACGCCCCUCUCCAUGUACUGCGGCAGCCUCUUGCUGUGCGCGCGCCGCACCCGAGCACCCGACCGCAUGAAUUUCAUUGCCAUCUUAAGGUAAGGAUUCUGCUCGCUUCCUUUCUCCUCGUCCUCGUCAUCCCCGGUCCCUUCUAGCCCCGCCAUUUCCCUCUCCAACUGCCUCAUCUUUUUCCUCUCCUCAGCCUCCGCCUUCUCAAUUUUCAGUCUAUCUUCAUAAUCCUUCUGCUGCUUCCUAUAAUUAAGCACGACCGUCCGGUAAAAGACGUAGAAGAUCAAAACCCCAAUGGCGGUCGCGACGUUUUUGUCCCUGGCCAUGUCAGCCCACAUGUUGGCCAUCUGCUGGUAGUUCCUUCUCGCUUGCCGGAGUGACUGCUCAUAAUUAGCCUUCCUCAUUUCGAGCCUCCGCUUCCGGUCAUCAGCCUUCUUCUGAGCUUUAAGAGCCUUCUCCAUGGCUUCCCUCUCCUGCCUUACCCUAGCAAGCUCAGCUCGCCUCCUCUCCGCAAGCUCCUUCCUCGCCUUCUCGAGCUCCAGCACCCGCUUCGACUUCGGCUUAGGCUUCAUCAACGACAAUAACUGCAUCGGAAUCCUCGCCAACCAGCCCAAGUAAGGCGCGGGAACAUCCGGUUUUUGAACCGGGGGAGUAUAAGCAUUGAUGCAAAGGGAAUUAAGCUGCAAUUGAUCCCACCUCUCCCAAAACCUCUCAUCUCUCUCGACCGUGGGGAGGACCGUUCUCAAAACCCUAGAAUCGUCCAAAACAACAAGUACCGGGUCGGGCCGUCGGCGCAAGCUCGCCGAGGGGAGCUUGAUGAUGUGCUUGAGCUUCCCCUCCGCCCUAAGGCUCAAAAUCUCGGUGUAGGGGAUCCGGUCGCCCACGGUGGGGAGGCCGCGGGUCCACGACCGAAGCUCCUCGGCGGAGAGGGCCUCCGCCGCGCGCUUCGGCGGGCGCUUCUUCUCCGCCACCUUGGCGAGCGCCCGGGGUUGAGGAAGCGAGGCGGAGAUCACCGUUAGGGUUACGGAGAAUUGGAGGAGCCUUAUAGUAGCUCUUUUGGGUCCAUUCUCAUCGGAACCGUCGGAGGGGUUCGAGGUGCGAGAGACGAUGUAGGAGGAGGAGGAGGAGGAGGAGGAGGAAGCUCGAAGAGGCAAGCUCCAUUGGAAGAGGAGGAGAGGAUUAGACUACGAAUGGAGGUGGGAUUUGAGAGGAAAAGGAAUAGGAAUGGAGCACGGUGUUCGGGUUCGCCAUUGGAGCAGCUCGGUGGAGAUGGAACGCUGGAGAGCAGCGACGGUCGCGCGGAUAGAGGUGGCCGCGUGUUUCGUAUUAAUGGGCUGUGCCGGGCCGGAUUGGCCAAUUAAUUCGAUCCGACUUAGUCCGGGCCAAGCAAAUGGUUCCGCUGGAGCGGCCCGGGUCCCUUCUCUUCUCGCGGGCGGGAGAUUUUUGCACAUCUGCCCCCUCAAAAUCCUUGCGGAAUUAAGCCUCUCCACACGUCUAACAAUCUUAUUGUGCGUUCUUUAACAGAAAUCAAAGUCGAGGGGCUGCAUGGAAUCACAAAGUCGGAGAGCAAGGAGCUUAUGAGUUUUACAAAAUCAAUUUCAUCUCCCACGCCAUCAAAGUUGCAAGAUCGAUCUUCGUAUAAUUGUGAGUAAUAGUUCAGACGAUCUCGUGAUUUCAGUGUCUAAAGAUAAAGCCGCCAAUGAUGACUUUCUCAUAGUUAUAUGAAUUCAACCUUCAAGAUCCACAUAAACCAGCAAACCCUUGCUUUCUGUGCUUUUUUAGACGGCGAUCUCUCCUAACAAAAUGAUAUAUGUUUAAGCCAUUUUAGUUGUGACAAGAAACACUGAUGGAGAAUAGUCAAGAGUUGAAGAAAAUGCCCAAGCUACUAAAAAUUAUACUUGCCAACAAGCUGAACAAUAAGACAAAAAAGACUAUAAUCAAAGGCCAAAUGGUUUAUCAAACUCCCAAUGGAACUGAUAUGUAGUAACUAAACUUUUAAUUAAAACAACAAAGCUUCUCUUUGCUACGAUAGUUAUUACUUCGCCUUCGAAAGAUAAGCUUAGUGACAUCAAAAUAACCCCACACCCAGUUACAUCUUCUUGUUAUUAUAAGCAAUGUAAAUAGAUUAUCCUACAAUGGUGGUAUUCAUAUACCGAUAUUUGAUUUACAGAUACAUCUAUGUGCGUAUCUACGGCAUCAAUUUGCACAGGAAACCGCAGGACAUAGAUCACCUUCAUUUUGGAGCAGAACUUGUCUUAUUCCAUUCAUUUGGGAAGCCAUCAACAUCGACGCUCCAGACAAAUUUAUUGAGCUCUCACAUAAUACUUCGGCAAAACAAAUUUUGAUAAUUAUAGUAUGAGCAAAAAGUGAGUAGACUUGUGUUUCUCUUUGCUCAGCAUCAGAAAUGAUACUUUCUGUUGCAUGCCGUGUUAUGUUUAGUACUGUAAUUCCCUGCUAUACAUAGUUGUAUCCUCCUAUCAUUUCUUUAGUAUUUCUUGGCAAAAGAGGGAGGAUGAUAACAAAACUUAACUCGCUAAACUAACACUACACCAAAAUUGCCCUUUAGCGGCCAUUAUCCUAUAGAUUAGCGGCGAUUUUAAUCGCCGCUACUCUCUUUACCGGCAUUUGUAAUAAUUACCACCAUAAAUGGGGUCGGUAAAAGUUUAGCGGCAAUUAUAUUGGCGGCCGGUAAAGAACAAAACAAUUGCCGCUAAAGAUUACUCUAUACCGGCAAUUAAAAUCGCCACUAAAAGCAAAAUACAUUUGCCUAUAAAAAUCAUCAUUAAUAGUCAUAUAUUCAAUUAAUCACUAUAAAAAUUUCAAAAGAUAAUGUGUAGAUAAUGAAAACUAAAAAUCCAACAUUUCGUGAAUAUCAAAUAAGCUGAAUAUAAAAGUCUAUUACAUUCUCAAAAGUGUUGCGAAUACAAAUAAAUGUCAAAAUCAAUUUUUAUACUAAAACAAAUGUCAAUCAAACAUUAGAUAGCUAAAACAAAUUCGAACUACAAAAACACUAAUAUGUAAUUAAAAAGUUUUACAGGCGAAAGGAAAGUUCUAUGCGCUCCCAUAGAGAAGUUCAAACUACAUUUCACGAAGACUCAUCCUUAAAGAGCGAAGAUUCCAAUAGAAAAGAUCCAUGGGCUUAAGAAGAUUAACCUGCAAGAAAAAUAUAUAAGAAUAAACGGUUAAAAAAAUUAUUAACAAAUAUGCUAAAAAAAUAUAUUUAGAAUUUACAAGAAAUUCUAGAUUACCAUGCCACUAAACCGAGGUGUACGAAAAAGAACUAGAGCAUCCUGCAUUUUGUGCAACUUUACCGUAACGAGCACUCGAAUCAUCAAGAACCUAUUUUACAGCCAUAUAAGAAAAAANNNNNNNNNNNNNNNNNNNNNNNNNNNNNNNNNNNNNNNNNNNNNNNNNNNNNNNNNNNNNNNNNNNNNNNNNNNNNNNNNNNNNNNNNNNNNNNNNNNNUUUCUUUUUGAAAAUUAAAUUUCAUUACAUAUUAAAUAAAGUGUUAAACUUCUUGGAAAUGACAACUGCUAAGCCAUAAUUAUAUGUACCUUUCUCGUGAAACGAGAAGCCUUAUUCAAGCCAAAAUAAAAAGAAUAAAGAAUAAUUAAUAAGAUGAAAGAGUGCAACAUCCUUUCAAAUAGUGCAACAAGCUCUUCAAAAUAGUACAAUAUCUGUAUAAAUAAUGCAACAUAUGCAUUGUUAAUAAAUAUUUUGUAUGAUUUUUACACUAAAUUACGCACGGUUUAGUAUAUUACGCGAAAAUAAUAUAUUAUAUUACAACAUACUAUAAAAAUUAUACAAUAUAUGUACAAACGGUGCAUAUUUUACACUAUUUAUAUAGAUAUUUACACAAUUUGUAUAAAUAUUGCACUAUUAUGAGAGAAUGUUGCACUAUUUAGAUGUGUGUUGCACUUUUUCUUUUUGAAAAUUAAAUUUCAUUGCAUAUUGAAUAAAGUAUAAAACUUCUUGGAAAUGACAACUGCUAAGUCAUAAUUAUAUGCAUGUACCUUUCUCGUGAAACGAGAAAUCUCAUUCAAGAGAAAAUAAAAAAAAUAAAGAUUAAUUAAUAAGAUGAAAGAGUGUAAUAUCCUCUCAAAUAGUGCAACAAUCUCUUCAAAAUAGUGCAAUAUCUGUAUAAUUAGUGCAACAUAUGCAUUGUUAAUACACAUUUUACAUGAUUUUUACACUAAGUUACGUACAGUUUAGUAUAUUACGCGAAAAUAAUAUAAUAUAUUAUAAUAUAUUAUAAAAAUUAUACAAUAUAUGUACAAACAGUGCAUAUUUUACACUAUUUAUAUAGAUAUUUACACCAUUUCUGUAAAUAUUGCACUAUUAUGAGAGAAUGUUGCACCAUUUAGAUCUGUGUUGCACUCUUUCUUUUUGAAAAUUAAAUUUUAUUGCAUAUUAAAUAAAGUGUAAAACUCUUUGAAAAUGACAAAUGCUAAGCCAUAAUUACAUGCAUGUACCUUUAUCGUGAAACGAGAAACCUCAUUCAAGAGAAAAAAUAAAAAAAUAAAGAUUAAUUAAUAAGAUGAAAGAGUGCAAUAUCCUCUCAAAUAGUGCAACAAUCUCUUCAAAAUAGUGCAAUAUCUGUAUAAUUAGUGCAACAUAUGCAUUGUUAAUACACAUUUUACAUGAUUUUUACACUAAGUUACGUACAGUUUAGUAUAUUACGCGAAAAUAAUAUAAUAUAUUAUAAUAUAUUAUAAAAAUUAUACAAUAUAUGUACAAAUGGUGCAUAUUUUACACUAUUUAUAUAUAUAUUUAAACCAUUUGUGUAAAUGUUGCAGUAUUAUAAGAGAAUAUUGCACCAUUUAUAUGUGUGUUGCACUCUUUCUUUUUGAAAAUUAAAUUUCAUUACAUAUUAAAUAAAGUGUCAAACUUCUUGGAAAAUGACAACUGCUAAACCAUAAUUACAUGCAUGUACAUUUCUCGUGAAACGAGAAGCCUCAUUCAAAAGAAAAUAAAAAAAUAAAGAAUAAUUAGUAAGAUGAAAGAGUGCAACAUCCUCUCAAAUAGUACAACAAGCUCUUCAAAAUAGUGCAAUAUCUGUAUAAGUNGCAUAUUUUACACUAUUUAUACAUAUAUUUACACCAUUUGUGUAAAUGUUGCACUAUUAUGAAAGGAUGUUGCACCAUUUAGAUGUGUGUUGCACUCCUUCUUUUUGAAAAUUAAAUUUCAUUGCAUAUUAAAUGAAGUGUAAAACUUCUUGGAAAUGACAACUGCUAAGCCAUAAUUACAUGCACGUACCUUUCUCGUGAAACGAGAAGCCUUAUUCAAGAGAAAAUAAAAAGGAUAAAGAAUAAUUAAUAAGAUGAAAGAGUGCAAUAUCCUCUCAAAUAGUGCAACAAGCUCUUCAAAAUAGUGCAAUAUUUGUAUAAGUAGUGCACCAUACGCAUUGUUAAUACACAUUUUACAUAAUUUUUACACUAAAUUACAUACAGUUUAAUAUAUUACGCGAAAAUAAUAUGCAAUAUAUAAUAUAAUAAACUGUAUGUAAUUAAUUUAGUGUAAAAAUCAUACAAAAUGUGUAUUAACAAUGCAUAUGUUGCACUAUUUAUACAGAUAUUGCACUAUUUUGAAGAGCUUGUUAUACUAUUUGAGAGGAUGUUGCACUCUUUCAUCUUAUUAAUUAUUCUUUAUUCUUUUUAUUUUCUCUUGAAUGAGGCUUCUCGUUUCACGAGAAAGGUACAUGCAUGUAAUUAUGGCUUAGCAGUUGUCAUUUCCAAGAAGUUUUACACUUCAUUUAAUAUGCAAUGAAAUUUAAUUUUCAAAAAGAAAGAGUGCAACACACAUCUAAAUGGUGCAACAUCCUUUCAUAAUAGUGCAACAUUUACACGAAUGGUGUAAAUAUAUGUAUAAAUAGUAUAAAAUAUGCACCGUUUGUACAUAUAUUGUAUAGUUUUUUUAAUAUAUUGUAAUAUAUUAUAUUAUUUUUGCGUAAUAUACUAAACUGUACAUAACUUAGUGUAAAAAUCAUGCAAAAUGUGUAUUAACAAUGCAUAUGUUGCACUAAUUAUAAAGAUAUUGCAUUAUUUUGAAGAGAUUGUUGCACUAUUUGAGAGGAUAUUGCACUCUUUAUCUUAUUAAUUAAUCUUUAUUUUUUUUAUUUUCUUUUGAAUGAGGUUUCUCGUUUCACGAGAAAGGUACAUGCAUGUAAUUAUGGCUUAGCAGUUGUUAUUUUCCAGAAGUUUGACACUUUAUUUUAUAUGUAAUGAAAUUUAAUUUUUAAAAAGAAAGAGUGCAACACACAUCUAAAUGGUGCAACAUUCUCUCAUAAUAGUGCAACAUUUACAGAAAUGGUGCAAAUAUAUGUAUAAAUAGUGUAAAAUAUGCACCGUUUGUAUAUAUAUUAUAUAAUUUUUAUAAUAUAUUGUAAUAUAUUAUAUUAUUUUCGUGUAAGAUACUAAACUGUACGCAACUUAGUGUAAAAAUCAUGCAAAAUGUGUAUUAAGAAUGCAUAUGUUGCACUACUUAUACAAAUAUUGCACUAUUUUGAAGAGAUUGUUGCACUAUUUGAGAGGAUAUUGCACUCUUUCAUCUUAUUAAUUAAUCUUUAUUUUUUUAUUUUUUCUUGAAUGAGGUUUCUUGUUUUACAAGAAAGGUACAUGCAUAUAAUUAUGGCUUAACAGUUGUCAUUUCCAACAAGUUUUAUACAUAAUGGCUUAGCAGUUCUAUUUUUCUAGACAUUUAAAAUAUAUAAUUUUUAUGAAUUUUGAAAGAGGGGUAGUUUAGUCAUCCUUCUGAAAAUUCGGCCCGAAUCUGCAAAAACUAAAAAGGUGGCCCACUUUUGCAAAAGCGCAAAAUUAGUGAAUUUUUUAUGCAAAUUGGCCUAAAAACAUCUAUAAAUUUCCUAACUUUCAAAUUGACAAACUAAAAAGAACUAAAUUAAAAUUAAAAAGCGUCGUCUAAAAUAUAUUUUAUUAUAGUGAUCAAAUCCUAAUAAUUGCAAUAUUAAUUACGCAGUGAAAAUGAUAUGUAAAAUCUAUAUGAUUUUUUAGCAUGAUUUGAUUAUUGGUUU